rnacentral:lncRNA from 1 species
GCAGAGUUAGAGUAACAACUGAUAUAGGUUGAGUUAAAAGAUUGUGGAAAUUAUGUACGUAAACAAGGUAACAAAUCUAGCUUAUGAUUUUAAAAGGUGCAGCAUCACUCUAUUUGAAAGAAACAAUCACUAGAUUUCCUUUCCAGUUAGUUAAAUACCUAACCAAAUGCAAGGUUACUUAAAAAAUGAAGAGUGAUGCUGCAAGGUUGAGUUAAAAAACGAAGUCAACUAUACUUUUCUUGGCCAUUUUGCCUGCAAAGCUAUUGACAUCCAUAUGGAAUGGAAUCUAAUAAAAUUUUGUUACUAAUGUAUCCAGGGGAAAAUAUUUUUUAAUACAAAGCAGGAUAGAUUAUUAUACAUGUGGUGAUCAUUACACAAAGACCACAUAUCCCAGUUUGAAGUCUUUUCUCUAUAAAUUUUAAACAUCACCACAAUCACCAUAAAAUAUGAUGAAUUUGAGUAUUCGUCAUCCAAGUACAAAUGUUGCAAUCCAGUUAAAGCAGCUCAGAUCCUCAAUUAAAAUGUCCAUGUAAUUCUGAAAGAAAUAAAUAGCCUUGAGACAGGUACAAUGAUCAACCUGGUAAAACAAGUGCUGCCUUAUUAUCGCAGGCAUCACAUGCAGUUGAUUACCAAAUCAAACAUUUGAUUCAUUAGUAGAACAGUACUCUCAUUUAUAUAGUUUCCUUCUCUACAUUAUGCCAAAGCAUGACCUGCUAUGAUACAAUAAUUCCAAAGCUACACUCCUACUCCACAAACCAACACUUCCUUGUGACUCCAUGCAGAUUCCCUAGGUCAAAAAGCCCACCACUGUUAAUGUAGAACUCAUACGACAACUAUCUAACUUGCCAUGAUCGACAUACCAAGUUGUAAAUAAGCACUUAAAUUCAUAGAAUCCAUCAGUCAAAAGCUUUGAUAUCCUAAUGAGGUAAAAUCGGGAUGCUAUAAGCCCAGACAUUACCAUGAGAGGAAAAUACAUGUUUUUCUGUCCUAAUUUGUCCAGCCUUAGGUUAUCAGGACCUUCACAUGGCAAGAGCUACACAUCAAAAGUUCACCUUAUUUUUCACUUUCACCCUGACAUACCCAAAACUGGACAAAAAUGUAAAGUAUACUUGGCUCAAAAUUGGCAGUAUUAGCUUUUUCAUACUGUAUGAUGCCUAUGUCAUGUGACUUAAUUAGGGUUGGAAUUGACUAGCUCAUGAUUGGUUACAGGAUGUCAAGAUUCAGCAACUAGUUACAGCAUUGAAUUAGGAAAGAAGUGCAUGCAUUUGUCUCACUAAAUAAGGAAAACCAACAGAAACCACUACAUGGGUCAGACCUCUAUGAUCAAGAGACAGAGAUCUUUAUCAUUCAUAUGAUGCAUGAAGCCCAGAUGGCAAUAGAAAAAGACUUCUAUUACAAAUCAAUUCACUGGCCAAUUAAUGCAAACAGCAAUUUAGAAAAUAUAUCUUUCAAUGAAUAAAGGGGCUAGAAAAGAACAGGGACUAGACCUUGCUGGGAUGAACGUUGUCAAAGACAUGUGCUUGACCGCCAUAGAAAAUAGUCAUCUGACAUCCAGAAGAACAAAUCCGUGUUGGCUACACAAAUAAACAUUAUGUGUCAUCAACUAUUAUUGCAGGAAGAAAAAAUAGACAAGGCAUACAGAAACAAUAAGUUUUUACGAAAUAUUACUUUGGAGUUGUAGAGGAUUCUGGUUCAGAAUUGUGAAUCCCGGACUUCAGCUUACUACUGCUGACUAUUGCCCCAGUAAAAUUUCUUUCGGAGAUUCCACCAGUUGUGUUAAUAGAGCUCAGAAGUCCAGAUCCUUUAAUACCAGUCCUAGAUCCUUCAUCAGCAGCUCCUUGAGAUAUAACUGAUGGACCAACACUGGAGUCUCUCAAUUUGUUUGAUAGUCCUUGGUAGCCAAAAGGAAAAACUUGACUGGAACGUGGUGGAUACUGCCAAGGCGGACCAACAUUCAUUGGAAUACCACGAUCCAAUCUUGAAGUAUUACCUUCAACUCUGGCAGCAGAGGAAGGCUGUGAUACAAGGGAAGCUGAAAUUGGCCGGACUAAAUGCAUAGGAAACGACGCAUCCUCAUCCUGUGGACGUCUUGGUCUCUCUCCACCAGCAUGUCGUAUUAGCUGAACUUCAAACCAAAUGGACAGUAUUAGAGCAAAUGGCAGACAUCUUACAUAGUAUAUAUUCAGCCAAUGCUAAGAUAGACGAAGUUUUGUUUAUGAACAAUGAAAAGAGAAGAAUGAUGGGCUAGAAGAAGUAUCCUACCUUCAUCAACUGUGAGCCUUCACGAGAAUCUGGUACCAUUUGUGGAAAUCUAUCUUUUGUUGUUCCAAUAUACGUGUCUGAGUUACUUCUCUUAGUUCCAGAAAAUCUACUACUUGUUUCAUGCCCAAUAAGAUCACUUCUCGCUCCAUAGAACGGAACUCCUUCAAAAUGAUUUCCACCUUGUCGUUCUACCAUAGUUGAUGAAAGAAUGAUCAAACAAUAAAUAAUCCCAAAACUCCAAAAAACUUUCCACUAAGUCAUGCACAUGGCAUUGUCAUUAUUAAAGUAAAAUUCGAAUCUCAAUCACCUAUAGAGUUACCAUGCAUUUUCAUUGCUUAAAGUUACCAAUUGGCACAAAAAUCAAUAACUUGUGCAUCUUGGAAUGGACAGAAAGCUAAUAGGAUAACCCAUGAAAACUAGACAUCACCGAUACAAAAGAAAAAAGUCACUGCAUCAUACAUGCAAGAAAUAGCUAAAUAAUCCACGCACUAGCUGUGAGUUCUCUAAACCUACUUAAUCAAUGAAUGACCUAAGACAAACUACUCCAUCAUGAGAACAAAGGCCACAACCAACCCACUAUAGAUGAUGCCAAGAAAGACAUAAACAAUUCCAAGUUUGUUAUCCAGUAAAGGGAAGGAUCACAAAAUUAGCAACCAAAAAAAUAAAAAAUCAUAAGUACCCCAGAAAGUUGAGGCAAGUACAAGAGCUAAGUGCAUCAGCUACCUUCAAAACUUUACCAAUGAAGGAAAUAGAAGAAUCCAGUUCUGUCUAUUUUAUCAUGAAUAGUUACAACCAUUCCAUAGUCAUUCAAAAGGCACACAAAAAUUAGGUAAAGAAACAGAACCGGAAGAGAAAAAUCAAGAAUUCUUACAAUAACAUAAUGACAAUGGGUAUCAUAAAAAAUUUGAAAAAGAGCCAAAACAAGGAAAAAAGGCGAGAAAAGAAGCAAACUUUGAGAAUUAUAACUGACAACUCAAGUCUCACCAGAACCCAGAUCAGAAGUUGUGGAGAUUGGAGCACGGCCACCAGAAGAGCCACCAAUGGAGACAGAAGCUGAUGAAGGAGAGGCCUCGGAUGUUGGCCGGACUCUGCCGGCUGCCACCCCACCUGCCGGAGAUAAAUAAUCUGGAGCAGACCCUUUGCCCAAAAAAUCAUGAAAAAUGGUUCCAGAAGCCUUAACUUCAUCCGCACCACUAGUACUAAUAGCAGCAGCAGCACCCGCAGAACUACUGUUAUUUUGAGUAUGAGCCAUAAAUGGUUAAAUACAUAACAAUUAUUAAAUUCAGCUGGAGAAAACAGACAUUAUUAUUAGCUCAUUUUAACGCAGGAAUGUUAAGGUAAAACCAUAGCUGCUGAUUAGCUUCAUUUGUUUUUUUUUUUCCCUGCUAUACAACAUACAAAUGAAGAAAGCAAGAAUCUUUCUUAAUAUAUACUACUGUGUGUUUGUGGGUAAAAAGCAAAGAGAGAGUGAGGAAGGAGGAAGGGGCAAAAGGGUUGCACGAUUUUUCAGAAAAAUGAUGUAAAAUCAAUAAAAGAGUUGUUUUCUGGGAGCAUUAAAAAGCAAAAGUUUCUGGCUUUUCUCUUGCUUCAUGCAAAUGGCCCUUUUCUUGUUACACAUUUUUCUAGUUUUCUUUUGUUCUGCUUUUUUAAUUUUUUUUUGUGUUCAAUUUACAUGAUUUUUAGAUUUUGUGAACAUAUCAACCAAUCACUUAUUAAUCACAUUCACAAAAUAGAACCUGAUACAAGAAAUUGAUCUAUAAAUGGCUCGACCGAACAAAUUCUUCAUAAUAAUCAAUUAUUGCUCAAGUGAUUGUUCAAUAAUUGAUUAUGAAAAUAUUCAUAAUCAUUACCAGAAAAAACAAAUUAAAGCCAAAACAAAUUGGGCCUUUUUUUAUAUUAGUGAAUAGUUUCCAUCAAUGCUCUUCAACACAUUGUCAGGGCAAUCCACAAGAAGAUUUGAUUGUAGAAUAAACAAAACAAGAAAGAAAGCAAAUUGCAGGUAUGUUUUAUGAGAUGUGAAAGUGCCACAAUCCAUACCUAAAAGCACAAAAAAUCAAAUUAGAAAGUGGAUCAAAUAAGUAGGAGUAAUAAAUUACAAUAGCCAAUGGGGUGAUUUGCGGAUUUUCGUUGGCAUAUGGGGUUCCAAGUGGGAGGAAUUUUUAAGCAUUGAUUCUCUCAAUCAGCAACUUAGGUAUUUGAGUACAUUUGUUGACUGCAUUGCAUCCACUUUCAGCUAAGUUCACUCACUCACUGCCCCAAACACUCAGCCGUCCUUUUCUCACCUUGGCCUUUGUGUGAUAAAUCAUUUCUAAUCAAAAACGUUCGCCACAUACUACUGAUUUAAUUGCUUUUCUAUUUUCAACUAAUAUCAAUCUCCUUGAGCUCUAGUCAAUACUCGAUUGAACAAGCAAGUCAAACAAAUUCCAAAAGUUUCUUACUAUGUAAGUUAAAAAAGGAUCGAAUAGUAAUAAGGAAUUGCAUAUCCUUUUUUUGGGCUCUGUUUGAAUUAGCAUAUUUUUUAUAAUAAAAUUUUCAAAUAUACAUAUCAAAAUUAUCAUAAAAAUAUAAAAUUCGUACAAUCUUCAAUACAAUUUAUAAAAAUAAUAAAUUCUACAACUUUUUCUUCUUCUACCCAGUGUAUACCACCACUCACCUCUACCACCGUCAAGACCACUAUCGCCCCUCCCUCCUCUCUCUCCUCCCUCUCCUUCUCCCUUCUCUCCUUCCUUCCUUUUCCCUCCCUUCCCCCAACCACUCUCAUUUCUUUCUCUAUAGUGGGUGGUGUUGUGUGGGGAAAUUUUUUAAUUUUUAAAAAUAUCUCAUAGAAUUAUAAAUUUUAAAAAUGCUCAAAAAUAAAUGUACACUGAAAAGUUUUUUCAUAUAUAAUAUUAUAGUGUAGUAUUUGAAAAACACCCCCCCCCCCAAAAUCACAUGAUUUAUACGAAUCCUUUGGUAAUUAUAAUUAAAAAAAAAUGGUUAAAAAUAUAUUUAUGAUACGAAUAAAAUAAUAUUUGAAAUAAUUUGUAUUUAAACACACCCUUCAUUUUGAUAUUUGAAUCUUGAUUUUCGAGGAUCAUGUUUUUGUAAUUUAUACAAUUCGAAGUAGAAAGUUAUUACUCCAUGUUUUGUAAAGUCGAGCACAAUUUGUACAAAACAAGAUUCAACUUUACAGGGAAUUAUUCCAUUUGGUAGCAAUAGCUUUGACUAGGAGCAAGAAAGUUUUGCUGCUUGACUUGAAGCUUUGUACUUCUGCUUCUAAUUAGAGAAAUGGUUACUGCUCUUGUCAUCAUUGUCUAAUUGAUUUGCCAAUUCAAACGGGAAAGAAAGAGAUAAGGAAUUAUGGAGAUAGUGAUGGAGCUAGAUUUCUUUGAACUUUGAAGAGUAAUGGAUACCAGGUGGACACAAACCAAUUCCUCUACGCAAUGAUUCUUUUGCUUCUCUCCCCUAGAAACUGGAGAGGAAAAGAAGUUGCAUUUUGCAUGUCAUUUUAGCUGAGAGAAAUGACAUUUCCAAGUUUACAAUUUUUACCAACAGCUUUUUACAGACUUGUGGAUCAUUAAAAAUGUAAAGGAGUGUGGUUUCCACUAGUUGCUCCUCAUCUUCUGGCAUGAUUGAAACAAGUUCGUCAUCACCAUUCAAUACCAAACACUUUGGUGGAAAAAAGACCUAAAUACUACCAAACUUGUGUGCCAAUAGCUACGAGUGUGCUAAAACAAAAGAUAGAAAUUGAAAAUGAAGAGAGAGAGAGAGAGGAAGGAUUGAUCCAAGUGCAACAUUAAUACAUUCUCUGCAAAAGAUUUGAUUCCCAUUGUAGUCGUCUGUUGCUGCAGCAUCCUGUUUACUCUACUUUUUAUUCCUUUGACAGUGCAUGGAAUCACUCAAAAAGUAACCAACUAUACUGCAGUAGAAAACUACUAGUACUCAAUAAGUAUGGUUUUCUUUCAUUUAUAUCCCAACAUUUCAAGAAAUCAAACUCAAAUGAUUGCAUCUCUUUCAUUUCACAAAGAUUUUCUACCUUACUCUACUUGUCACUGAAAACAUAUCAAGUAAAUCAACUAGAAAUGAGCUUCAUAACCAUCAUAGCAUGCAUGGGAUGAUAAGGUAACGGUGCUCCAAUCAACUCAAAGAGAUGUGGGCUAUAUAUUAGUCAAUUUAGGAUGCACUAAUAUUACAUUGAAUGUCCUCAAAUAACCAUUAUGUUUUCCAUCCCCCCCCCCUUUCUUUUUUUCUGCUGGAAACAAAGCUUGAAAUCCAUUUGGAUGCUGCACAAUUUUGCACAUUCUUGAUCACUUGACCAUGAGCAAAGAUAACCUGAUCUCUUGCAGCCUUCCAGAAAUGGCAAUCACCACCUUUUUGAGGCAAAAGCUACCCCAAACAAAGCUAGCCGGAUUUCAAAUGGAGGUGUGCCUCCUCUAAUGGAAUUCCACCCGGAAUAUGGAAUCAGCUGCUUAGCAACAUUCUUUAUUGUUACAUAUGCAAGGAGGGUUUUCUUCAUUUUAUAUUUUUCUGAGGCAGUGCGUUCAAGUCCAGAUUAACAGUAAUGCUAGCAUGAAUAUAGACAAAACUCUUGUUACCAAAUCUUUGAAGAUGUCAUUGCAUUUGUCAGGGCCUAUCAAGCAAAGGGUUAUUGGUGCUUAUCGCAAUAAUUGUUGGCAUUAUCUCCAAAUUCCUCUCCAACAUACCUGCAAAAUGAUUUGAUGAAUCAUAUCCACAGUGUCAUUCCGUGAUUAAGUUCUGCAGAUUUAGGGGUCCACUGGAAAUUCCCCCAUGUAACUACUUGUAAUAGUUUAAUCAACAGCAAUUACUUGCAGUAGGUAAUACUGAGUAGGAGGCAUUUGUUGCACUUACACAUUAAAUAAAGAGAGAGUAGUUUUGGUCCAAAUGUUUAAUGCAGGUGGACUUAUAAUUAAUUAUUAAAGUUUGGAUGAGAGCAAAUGUAGUUUCAAAUGUUUUAAUUUUUAAGCGCAUUUAGUCCUAUUGAUUAAAUUUUUUUAUAAAAAUUAAAAAAAAAGAAAAAAAUAUUAUUAGACUAAUGACUCGUGUGCCAAUCAGGUGACUAAUUAUUCUUUAGCCUAAAAAUACAACAAUUCAAUCGACAAAAUAUUUAGGUUGAAAAUUAAUUAUUCAUGUGAUCAGCGUGCAAAAAAUUAAUAAUUUUUAUUACAAAUCAUGGCUAGCAAUAUUUUAUCAAUUUAAUUGGUUUCUGGCACGUGACUUGAUUCCAAUACUAAUUGGAAAAAAAAAAAUCAAUCAUUAAAACUAAAUGUGCAUAGAAACAUGAACAUUUGGACUAUUUACUUUCAUCCAAAAUUUAGGGACUAAAAACACUCGUACCUCAAACAUUCGAAAUUAAAACUGUAAUUCUCUGUUAAAUAAAAAUAUUUCAGUCGAUACCCUCCUCCAUAUUUGAGAUGUGCCAUGUUGAAACAAAAGUCUCUUUAUGUAAAAUUCACUAAAUUCAACAGACCCUGUGGCCUAGCAGAUGAUAUCAUGAGUAACAAAUAAUUGGAUUAUAACCAAUUUUUUACUACAUAAGGCCCACAAAGAAUCAGCUAUCAAGUGGAAAGUGAAAAGGCAUUGGGUUUACACCAGACUUAAUACUACACACAUAACCAUUGAACUGCAGCAUAAAUUUAAUCCUUACAGAAAAAAUCUGGACCAGAAAUAUUUUGCUUUUUAAAUAAAGGCAAACUAAUUCUUGUGGACCAACUAUAAGUUUUACUUUCAACUUCGGAGCUUACAAGUCAUCAAAUCAUUUGAAAAAUGAUGCAUCAUAUCAACGUUGAGAUGAAAAAACAAAGUGACUUUCAAGAAUGUCAUACAUCAAUUGCCACGGACCCUUAUAAAUGAAGAAGAACAAGAAAAUUCCUCAAUAUCCCAUGGAUUUCAAUUUGUUUAAGUUCAAUGACUAGAUGGGGAUCUGAAAUUAAUUGCCACUACAAAAAGGCACAUUGCAUUAUUAAUCGGCCUCUUUAUCAUAUGCAAAACAUAUUUGUUCUACAUGGUCAUUUGCUAAUUAGAGAGAUAGCAUCAUUAAUGGACCUAAUGGAGGGGAACAGGACGCUGCAUCAUUAAAUCAGAUCCACAGCAUAGCAUCUGAGAUAGCAGAACAGGACCUAAUGGAGGGGAAGAAGAUGAAAAAUGACAUUUCUUCACUAAACCCACUACUCUAAAAUCUCAACCUGGCAAGAACAGCACGAAGAUUCCUUGAAACUAAAAUGGAAAACUUAUACGGUACUGUUCCAGACUAGAGAUGCAUGUCUCAAUGCAGCGAACAAGUGGAUGAAGCAGCUUGAUAGACUUUCAAUCAUCUUGUGGACGUUUAACAAACAUAAUAAGUUAUUCGUUUAGGAAAGAGGGGGAACGAAAAAAUGUUUCAACUCAUAAGCAUGACAGAGAUGCUGAAACUCAAGACAAGUCAGCUGCCACACUCUGGCUGCACACAGAGACACAGGCUGCUGGCAAAAUGUGUCUUUCCUCAACUCUGGAGGCACGUUGUCAAGGAUCACUGCAACUAUACAACAUGUACUUUCAAAUACAACAUCAGGUCUAUGCUGAAACUAGUCUAUUCAGUUCGUGCCUGGAAAGAAAAAGGGACAAAAGCCCUAGAUCCAAGACAUUAAAACCAACUUCAUUGCACUAAUAGUAAACCAUGGUUGAAGGGAACUAACACUAAAAAUUACAUGUAAGCAAACAACAGAGAGUUGAGAAACUACUGAUUAUUUUUCCACCCUCAAACCUCGUGACCUUGUUAUGUCGCGCAAUGUUUCAGCUAUCUGCAUUAUCAUUUUUCAAAUUGCAAGUGAAGAGUGUAUUUCCUAGCGAUGCCCACUGAGCAAUCCCUUUGAAGAGAGAGAACAGAUACCAUCCUAAGUCCAAACAAAGUUGACAACUUGUUACUGACAGAUACUUCACUCACUGUGGAAUACCUUCAAUUGGUAUUACAUCUUCAAGUGCUGCAACGGUUUUCUCAAGAUAAUUGCUCUCCAGGAAAAAAAUCCCCAUGAUUCCAGUAGGCAAAUUAAAUCACAUUACAUGUAGUUGUAUCUCUAUCAAAAAUUCCAAAGUUGGUCAAACCAUUUCUUCUACAUCUAACAAGUUUAUGAUAGUCUGCCAGAAAGCAACCUUCAGUAAGUAGGCAGAGAACCUCUAUUCAUCUCAUCUUGAGGUUUCGCUAGUACUCUGCAUAUUUCUGCCCUUGCAGGACCCUUCACAAGCACAUUAUAGGUGGAGAUCGUGGGUAUUGUCACAACUUGAAAAAAAAAAAAAUUUUCCGAGCAGCCAUAGUGUCUCUUUUCAUAAUCCGGGUUCCACCAAUGCAUCAAAUAUAGUUUCAAAUGGAAGUAACACUUGGCUCAAAUCAUCUCCUAUCAUCUCCACCGAGGAAAUCUUUUGCAUUUAUUUACUGACAUGGGCACUGCAUAUUGGCCAGGAAUCUGAACCUCGAUCCAAUCCUUUGCAUUCAAAAACUGUUAGUAUACUUUAGGCAUCCUGUUAUACACGAAGCCUAACAAGUAUCAAACCAAUGCUGCAUAAUUCAGUGGUGGAGUUCAAGUUUUCCACAUUUAAAUCUCCAAAUGACUGUUAAAGGAAUACCAGCAAUCAAUGAAAGACCCUGUCAUGGAGAGAACAAAUAGAUUAACAUUUUCAAAUAACAUUCUCUGUUCAAAUCCUAGCUACUAAAGGCUACCAGAAUCUGUUUGUGUAGCCCUGUGAAAAGUCUAGCAGUUACUUUCAAGGAUGGGAGUCAGCAGGUUCAAUAAGACAUAAAAUUUGCGAUUAGAAAUCCUGUGUAACAAAUUAAAUGAUUUGAUCCAAAGGUGAAUUUCAACAAGGGUUUUGCUUCUGCUUUUUCCGGGAAGAGAAAGUUUCCAAUUUAUCCUUGAUGGAAAAGUUUCCGACAGAUUGAACACAACAAGGUUCAUAAAAGAAAAACAUUCUGCAAACACACGCAAAUUUCCAUCCAGCAAAUGUGAAAAGGGGAAAACCCAAUCAAGAAAUUGAUCAAGAGAAGCAACUGAUACCUGCAAAAGACAGUGAGUCUAAGCCUUGAACUACAUCAGGCCUCCUAGUGGACUCGCUCAUCCUUUAGAAGAAAACUAUCAAUAAGCCUUCUUAACAUAUCCUUUGAGGAAGUGAAUUCAUUUAACAGGACAAGACAGGUUUAAUCCAUGUUUACUCCUUUCCUGAUAUCGUCCAUCACCUGUCUGCACGUGAUACACCACUCUUAGGUAGAUAUCUAUGCUUCACAAGCUUCCUUGGGUUACUAUAUGUUUUUAAGACAUCAGACAUUACUACAGCUUUUUUCAUAAUAGUUUUCUUUCUAGCAUGGGAUAGUUCUUCAUGAGCACCAUAUGUAUUCGGCAAUUUCUUUGAGUGAGGAACAGACGACAUCAGAUCAGAAAUUUUCUGGGCCAUUUUUAGCUUUCCCUGUUUCCUUAAUUCGAAACUCAUCUUCUGAUACGUAAGGUACUGAGGGACCAAUCCUCUGCGAAUCAUAUCCUCAAAUUCUUCAAAGGCCAUGUCAACAUGCUGUGUCUUGACUAGCAAAUGGAUUAGCAUGGUACUUGUAGCCAAGUCCAGAUCACAGCCACUUGCCCUCAUCUCUUUAACAACUUGCAUUGACAGGUCCAACUUUCCGUGCACACAUAACAUCUUCACCAGAAGAUGAUAAGUAAGCUGAUCUGGUGCAUAUCCAGAGUCAGUUAUCUUAGCAUAAAGGUUCAAGCCCUCAUCAAUCUUCCCUGAUUUUGAGAAGUGCCUAAAGAAAUAAUUAUAAGUCGUUACACUUGGCACAAACCCUCUAUUUAUCAUCAUUUUGAUGAUCUUACUUGCCCCUUCCAGAUCUCCAGCCUUACAGAAACCCUUAACCAGUGAAUUAUAGGUCGAAAUAGUUGGCCCAGAUACCAACACCAAAAACUGUUCCAUCAUCCCCAGUGCCUCCUGAACCUCCCCGCCUCUCCUAGAGCAUCAAUUACUGGAUUAUAAACAAUUGCAUUCGGCUCAACUCCUUCCCUCUUCAUCUCAGCUAUUAAGCCCAUUGCUACCUCAACAUGGCCCAUCCGGCAAUAUCCUUCAACAAGAGUACCAUAAGUUACAAUACUCGGCUUAAUGUUUUCCCUUUUCAUUUCCAUCCAAAAUCGUUCAGCCUGUUUUAAAUUCCUUGAUCGGAACCAGCCAUUUAACAGUAUAUUGUAAAUGCGUAUAUAUGGAACCCAGCUUGUAUCCUGUCCCCUUCGAUUUUUAAGACACUUGUAAGCUACCCUAACAAGUCCCUCCUUGCAUAAAGAAUCUAAUAAAAUCUCAAACAAUUUCUGCUCUGAAUCUGAAGCCUGACGAAAUGCCAAAUUGGAAGCAAAUUCAUAAGUUUGAAUAGCUUGUGAAGGCAAUCCUGCAAAGGAAAGAGAGUCAUGAAUGAUGCACAAUUCAACACUUAAACAAAAUAAAUAAAGUUAAACAUGAAGAACACAAAAAUAAUGACUCAAUGCUAAGCAGAACACAAGUCAGCAGUAAACCGUUUUCUCAAUAGGGAAUGUAUUGGAUGCAACAUUAAAUCAAAAACUUGCUCAAACUAUUUAGAGACAUCUCAUUUUCAGUAUUUGCAGUUAAAAGAAGAUUCUCAAUAACAGGAAGAUUCAGAUCAUCAGGGGAUCUCUGGUGCUGGUAAAUAACUUGAUCAUUGAUAUAUCCAAAGCAUUCCAAGAAAAGAAAGCACUUGUGUGCAAAUGUUCAUGAUUCUCCUAUAAAUCUCAGUAAAUUUUACACAAAUUCUUUCUUAAAAACAAAAUGGCAGGAAAAAAUGCAUCAUGAUAUACGAGAUUUUCAAAAGCAGCCAUAAAAAACUGAGGCCUCUGUCCCCAGCCCCACCAUCCCCACCCCCAAACAACAAAAACUGUUAAAAACGAGCACACACUGCUUCACAAAUUCCACGACCAGAAAACUGAAACAUUUCCAAGAAUAACAACGUACAUAAACUAGAAACCCAUAAUCACAAAGAUCAAAGAAAAAAUCUUAUUUGAACUCACAAUCCAUCUUGGAGUCUAAUUCAAACUUCAGCAUUUCAAAUAAAUUUCCAACAGUAAAUCACAAGAAUCUUGCAGAUUAUAAAUAUCAAAUAAUCCACGAAUAAAACAAUUAUCCAGUGCAAAAUGCAAGACUACCUGCUCUUGCAAAUCUCCUGAUCAUAAUAACAAAUGAAUCAAAAUUAGGCCUCUCUUCACUAGCAUUAAUCUUAUCAUGUAUUAAAGCCCAAGCCCGGUUGAACUCUCGGGCCUUCCAAGUACAUUAAUCAAUGCAUUGAAAACAGCCAGAGAGAAUUUAAAACCCGGCUGUUUCUCAGCCCAGAGGUAGAAAAUGUACAAGGGUUUAGGGGAAGAAUCAAAAUGGUUGAAUAUCUGCAGUAGCAAAUCCGGCCUAGGCUCAACUCGGGCCUGAUUCAGGGCAUUUUCAAGCUCCGGGUCGGGCUCAAGGGAAGGAUUGGUAAGAAGGUUCGAUAAGGUGGUGAAGUCAGGGGAAGAGUCGAAAUUAGGGCUUUCAGGGUUUUGGAACUGGGGUGGGGUGGACUUAGAUUGGAAUGGUUUUGGGUUUGGUUUUGGUGGGGGCCACUUUGUUCGAUGGUUUAUUGGCGAAGAUAGCCGUGAUUGGGUGGAGAAAAGUCUUCUAGCGGUGGUGGUGGUGGUGGUGAGGUUGAGGAGAAGGGUGGCAAAAGAACGGAUGCGGCGGCAGGUGGAGGAGGAGGAGAGGUGAUUCAUCACUUCAUUUUCAGUUGGCGCGUGUUAGGAGGCAGUUAGUUAAAUAUUUCUCAACCACUGGGCCAUUGGCUCAGUGGCCACCGUGAAGGGACUUAGAUUUUUUUCGUUGCUGGUGAGAUUUCAAAAAAAAUCUAAGGGUUGUACCAUAGCACUCCUUUGAUCUAGUUGGGUCUGUAUACCCAUUAACCCCUUCCACAGCCUCCUUAGGCUCCCCUCCCCCUAGAUUAGGUUAUACAAAUGUAUCGUUGCUGACAAAAAAAUAUAUAUAUUUCUCCUCUAAUUUUAUUACCAAAAACAAGAAGUUUGUUAAUUAGGCCUUAUCUUUCUUCAGAAAAAUUUAUGUGUUUUGUUAACACAUUUUUUAAGCACUUUUUAUCUUACAUACUAGGGUAUGAAAGCUCGCGCAAUGCGCAGGUGUUGAAUGCUUCUAUUUAAAAUUUUUUACAUAAUUUUUAAGAAAAACACAAUAAAAUUGAGAAAGUAGAAAAUAUUGCAGAUAUAAGUUAUUAAAAAGAACAUGUCUAUAAGAUAAGUAUCAUAUUAGUUGAAGUAGAAUUGCCCAUAAACAAAUCCUUUCACACCCUACAUAAAAUAAAGUUAGUUUUUAAGUACACAUAGUAUUUCUUCUGCAUAUGUUAAUCAAGAACAUAGAAGAAAAUGUCAAAAAGGACUAACUGAAUAACAUAAUAAGAAAACAUCCAAAGUUGAAGUUAUAAUAUAUUACUUUUUAUUAUUCAACAUCAACAUAAAAAAUGAGAGCAAAAACAUUUUUUUAAUGUCAAAUAGAUAAUUUAUAUCCUUAUACUACAACUCAUUACAAGAUUAAAAAGUUUAACACUUAGGUUUGUUCUUAACUAGUUUUAUCUCAUCCACAUCAAUUUUGACAAACCUGACACUCGAAAAGAAAGAAUCAACCUUGUAAAUAUAUUAUGGAAAGCUCAAAAGCAUCACACAAAUAAUUUGGAAGUAUCGGACAAUCCAUCUUAACUAUGAUCGAGGAAGUCCCUAAGUUUUUGUGCACAUAGAAUCUAAAAUCCAAGCAAGUUGAUGCCUAAUAUAUAUUUGGUCUCAUCAAGCAAUCCGGCAAGUAUGAUGUGGAUUGGAGCAUAGAAUUUAUAAUUGUUCUGAUCAAUAGGAAAACAAAACAUAACAUGAUCCAAAAUCCGGGUUUUUAGAAGGAAAUAAAUUUAUAGGCUCAUAUUGAUGGAAAUCCAUUGAGAACUAAUAAAUUGAAGUUAAGAGCUGGCUCAUAGAACUUAUUGAGGAUAAUUUUUGCAAUUUUGUCUCUCCAAAAGCAAUCGGUAAUGUGGGCAACAAAUUUGUUGCAUUGGACAAACAAACAUGAGUAUUGGGAAUUUAAGGUGUCUAUUUCAUAAAGCAUUCUUGAAAGAAAUAAGUGAACCGUUAUCACAAUUUAGUCGUAAAGAAAAUGCCCUUCACACUCUCUUGAAAGAUUCACACUAUAUGAUAAUAUGAAAAUUCGUUUCUUCUUUGAGAGCACAUCUCAAUCGUAAUGAUGAAAUACAACAGAAAAACACCCUCACGUGAAAAGAGCUUAUUUGUAGAACAAACCAUCGUGAAGCCAAAAUAAGAAGAAAUUGCAGACAUGAAUUGGAGUUGGAAGCCAUAAGUAGAAAGUGGUUAAUGAUAUUUCCCAAUAUUUGCUUGCAGAUGUGGUAUUUUCACUAUUAACCCUGCAAUGAUGAUCAAACGUUCACUAUAUGUUUCAAAAAUUCCAUAUGAAUGAUGAAAUUAUGCUAGUGAAAAACAAUCAUACAUAGAGUCCUGUGAAAGCAAGCAAAUGAAAUUUUGGUGGAAUAGAAAAUACCUCUUUUGAAGGUUGUACUCAACUAAAGGGAGUAGUUAAAUCAGCAAAAUUCUAUUUUAUAAAUUUCACACUUCGAUACAAUUAAAUCGGAAAUAAAGAAAAAUAAUUGGAACAAGUUGGCCGUGUUGUGAUAAUGAUCAUCCAACAUAAGUUUCAUAAUAAUUUGCAUUAAUUUUACUUUUACAUCUUUCUUCCAAUUGGGUUUUUCACCCUUGUAAGAAACACAAGAAAUAUAUGACUUUAGAACAAAAUUGUAAAAGGCAAGACACUGAUCUUAGUUGUAUAGAGUGGUAGGAAUAAAAAAGUUUUAUAGAGUGGUAUACAUAACUGGUACAUUUAAUGUUGGAAGAAGAAGAUCCUAUAUUGUAAAUGUUGGGAAAAAUGGAAAAGCAAGAAGCAAAUGGUGAAUGUUGUGAAUUGUUACUUAUUUAAUUCAAUUGAUUGUAGGUUAUGGGAGAUCAUAAAGAAAGAAUUUUGAUUAGUUGAAGUUAUUGAUUAGGUCCGAGGUAAUGGGUUAUACUAUAAGGAAUUAAUUGUACAACAAAAAUCAUACUUCAAUUAAAUGUGUCUAUAACACCAUUUCAGUAAUUACAUCAACACAUAAGCUUAUAUGAGUUAUACCCAAUGCAAAAGAGUGUAAAAUGAUUUCACAUUCCAGAAAUACCCAAAUAUCUCAAUAAAUAAAAAUUUUAAAUGUACAAACGUAAGGACAUUUCCAUAAAUAUAUCCAAAAAAUGUUGACAUCAAUUGUACCAAAAGCUUUAAAAAAAAUUACACAUCAUUCUAUAUUCCCAAAAUGUCCCUAUUCAUGUGGUUGAAAUUCAAAACCACAAAUCAUUCUUAUAUAGUAUAAGGACAUCAAAUCAUUACAAUAUAUUUUUUUUUAUAAAAAUCUUAUAAAAUAGCAAUUCAGUUAGUUAAAUAUUCCUCCAUCUAAUUUUAUUACCAAAACAAGAAGUUUGCUAGUUAGGCCUUAUCUUUCUUCAAAAAAUUUUGUGUUUGCUAACACAUUUUUUAAGCAUUUUUUUAUUUUACAUAUAUCAAAUCAUUACAAUAUAUAUUUUCUAUGAAAAUCUCAAAAAAUAACAAUUCAAACGGGCUUUUAGUAUUUGUGUAGUUAGGACGAAAAAAAGGAUGGUAAGAAGCCAAUGGUAAAAUUGAAAAUUCAUUGUAUCAUCAAAUACAAAAAAUGGGAUAUUGUAAUGAUGCAAUUUCAUCUUAAGUUGCCAAAGUCAAAUAUGAAAAAUAAUUAGUAGUAUUAUAGCUGCUGAAUUCUUGAGCUUCUCCAGAACCUCCCUGCAGCAAACAGUUCUUUCGACAAGGAGGGUUCAGCUCGAUUGGACACUCUCACGGAUUUGAGGUAUUGAUAAGGUGAAUAUUCAAUAUUUUCAAUGCUAGGCUUAAUAAGUAUGAGGACCUCAAAAAUCUCUUUUCAUCCUAUGAACUUUAAGGUGCAUGAAGUUUCGUAUUUCAUUUUGUAAGCAGAACAUAGAGACUUUCAUUUGACUUGGUUGAUCUAGGCCAUAGGCAGAUAUACGUCAUGACAGCUCUACCCUUGAAAGACUUUGGUAGUGCUCUUGGAUUAGAAUCCAAAAUAAUAAAUCAAAACACAUAGAGCCAUCAUCUUAUCUUAUUUUUUUGUCAAAAGAAAAAAAAAUGGCAAACUAACGAUAUUUCGAUCAGUUAAUGAAAGAGCCAAAUGCAAAAAAAAAAAAAAAAAUGCAUGUUGGGUCAUUGAAACAGUUCUGAUCAUAUUGAUAAUAAAAAGUUUGAUCUGUUUUAUCCAGAAGGUCUAUGGUUCGAGUCCGUAUAUAUAAGCAAUAUAUGAAAAUAGAAGCAACUACAAGUGCCUAGGUCCAACUAAUUGGAAACUUGGAAUGUCAAGAAUACAUUGCCUAGUCGGCCUCUGACUUAUUGUUAUAGUUCAUUUUUGAGCCAUUAACAAUAUUAUGUAACUUUUAAUACCGCAACAAAUUUAACGCCCAAUGUAUUGGCCCUCAUAUCAAAUUUUGCCAUUUGAUCUAAUGAAAUGAGUGACUAGAAGUGUAAACGAGCAGAGUCGAGUUAGUUUUGCCAUAAUGGAUUUGAGUCUCAACUUAAUUUUAUAAACUUGAACUCGAAUUCGACGAUCUUUCAAUGUAAAACUCAAAUUUAAAAAAAAAAAAUAAUUAUUUUAUUUUUAAAAAAUAAAUAAAAUAAUAGUUUUUCUUAACAAAUAACAAAAUAUUAGGAAUAUAUAUAUAAUUUUAAUAUUAAAAUAAAUAAAUAAAAGAAUGUAUAGUCGAGUUGGCUCACGAGCUAACGAGUUGAAUAUCUUUGAACUCGAGCUUGACUCAAACUCGAUGUUGACCGAGCUUAGACUCAAGUUGCUUGCGAACGGCUCGAUUCAUUUAUAUCCCUGUAUCAAGUCCAGGGGUGUGAUUGAAAUAAAAUCAAAGUUACAAGGGCCUUUGUAUCAAUAUCCAGCAAAUUUGAAAGUUAGUUAAAGUUUGUUAGAAAGUUGCAGAAACAGUUGUAGAGUUAGUUAGCUGAGUGAGUCAGUUUUCGGAGAAUUCAUUGCAAGAGUGUAUAAAAUCCAGAUUGUACAGUGGAUUGGAAAUCAAGAAAGAAUAAUCAUGUUCCCUUUAUUACUGAUUCUUAACUUCCUCUCUCUAUUCUCUUUCCCUCACUCUCCCACCUUUUCUAGUUCCUUUCUUUCUUUCUCCAUUCAUUUGUAAGUUUUUUUUCUCUGGAUUUAGGGUCCUGAAAAAUCUGGUAUCAGAGCUAACUGAUCCUUGGUAGCUCGAGAAACUAAGAUGGCAUAAAGUACCCACUUCAAGACAUUGGAAGAUCACCUCAAGAAGCAAGAACUAAAGUUGCAGAAAAUAAUGGAAGAUGUCAAGAACAUGCAACUUCAGGUCAAAGAAGAACUGGCAGGAAGGGAUAGACGAAUGGAUUUGAUUGUUCUAGGGAUGGAGUAGAAAUUUGAAACACUUAGUUCGAUGAUGAAGGCAAUGAUGAACAAGGAAAGGAGUUUAAAUGAAGAUGAUAGAAAUGGGAAAUAUCGUACAUCUCUGCUGCCUACACCACCCAUUCAUCCGAGGUUGAAUUUGGAAACAGAAAAGAAGCAAAAAGCUGUGAAGUCUUAAGUAAUAUUUCUGGUUACAACUUUCCCAAGAUUGAGUUGCAUAUGUUCAAUGGAGAAAAUCCUCGUGAAUGGACUCGAAAAUGCAACAAAUAUUUCUUGUUGAAUAAGAUUCCUGAGGAUCAUAAACUGCUGGUGGUAAAAUGUUCCUUAAAGGAAAAGCAGAUAAUUGGUUCCAGGGUAUCAAAUUAGAAAAGCCUAGGUUGUCUGGGGGGGAUUUGAAGAACUACUCUGCCAGAGGUUUAAGGGAACUUGUAGUAGAGGCAUUGUCGAAGAAUUUAACAAAUUACAGCAAGUAAGUACAGUGGAGGCCUACCAAUAGAGGUUUGAAUAAUUAAAGACCUUAAUGCUGAUCCAGAAUCCCAACUUGAGUGAGGAAUACUUCAUUUCCAGUUUUACAAGUGGACUCAAGGAGGAAACCAAACCCAUGGUGAAAAUGCUCAAGCCAAAUACACUCUCUGGAGUUGUGGAAGUAGCUCAUUUAUAAGAACAAGCCCUUAAGUUACAAGGAAAGACAGUGAAGGAAGGAAGGAAGGUGAUGGUUGAGCCAAGAUUUGAGAUGUAUAGGCACCCUAAUUCUGCCAAUAGAGGGAUCAGUAAUUACAAGUUGCCUUAGGGCAAUACACCUAAGCUAGUAACCAGGAACACAGAAAUUAAGAAGCUAUCUCCACAAGAGGUACAGUUUAGGAGAAAUAAUGGACUGUGCUUUAAAUGUAGAGAGAAGUUUGGUAUGGGACACCAGUGUAAGAUGAAACACUUGCAUUUCAUGCUGUAUGAGGAAGAUGAGGACAGUGAGUUUCAAGAUGCUCUGGGAGAGCAAGAUGAGUUGACUGGUCGCCCAGGAGAAUCAGUAGAAAGAUCCCUGAAUGCUCUUUCAGAUUCUUUUAGGCGAAAUACUAUAUUACUGGAAGGGCUGGUAGCAAGGGAAACUGCCAAAAUCUUAGUUGAUACAGGCAGUAGUGACAGCUAUAUUCACCAUAAACUUGUAUUUGCACAUGAAAUUCCUUAUGAAUAUGUUAAACCCUUCAUUGUCACCAUGAGAGAUGGUAGCUUGGUGACCAGUUGUGCUCAGUGUCCAAAAGUCCUUUGGCAGAUUGCUGAUAUGUUGAAAUCUGGAAUUAUUAAGCCAAGCAACAACCCUAUGCAUCACCAAUUCUUUUGAUUAAAAAGAAGGACAACACAAGGCGUUUCUGUGUAGAUUACAGGUACUUAUAUGAUCGAACAAUCAAAGACAGAUAUCCUAUACCCAAUAUUGAUGACUUGCUAGAUGAGUUGUAUGGAGCACAAUUCUUCUCUAAGAUUGAUCUGAGGUCUGGAUACCAUCAAAUCAGGGUCAAGAUGGAGGUGACAGGUAUUUUACAUACAUGCAAGUUAAAAAACCGAAUUACACCCGUUCACUGCAAGUAUACAGAUCAACUAGUAGUUUAGGGUAUAUAUCGGGUCGAUCCCACAGGGAAGAGUGAACAAUUACCGGUAUUACUAAAGCUUCUCUAUUAUUUAGACUAUCAAUGAAUUAUAACAAAUUUUACCUACUCAAAUUAUACAAAAUAACAAACAAAAGCUCCUUACGUUGUGGUAUCCCUAACUACUCAUGCAAGUGCUAUAUUUGGAUCAUUAAUUAAUACAUUUAGGCUAAUUAUGGUGUAAUUUCCUUAUGCAUUUGAAUCCUACUUUCGUAGUGAAUCAAUUAUACCUAUAACUAAUCCAUACCUAUUUUCAUGGUUAUGAAAUUAGCUACAAGUUCAUUUCUUCAAUGAAAUUACAUGAUAUGAAUCACUAAAAACCACAUAAGUGCACCUCUACUUUCGUGAGUGUACUCCUUAUGUUUAGCACUUCUUGAACUAGUGUUAAAUCUCAAUUUUCAUUGCAGAAACAACACCUUAGAUCAUCACAAUCAAUGGUACCAGAUUAAUCAUGAUUUAAGAAGCCAAAGUGCUAAAUAACUUGCUCAAAUCAUAGCAAUCAAAUAACCAAAUAAUAAACACUAACAAUCAUAGAAAGUUCAACCAAACCCAAGGUAUAAACUUUAAAAACACAUAUUACACACAAAAUCCAGAACUUGUAUAUUAACUAAACUUGGAAUCAAAUACAAAAGAUAAAGAGUUUGGAAGGAAUACAACCCUUGUCACAUGAGCUUUCUUCCUUGCCUUCUUCAUCCUCCAUCUUCAUCCUAAUCUAGAUAAUAAACAAGAAUGGAUGAACUAUACUACUCUAUACUAAGCUAAACUAAUACUAGGAAGAUGAAAGAGCUACAUUUCUGCAGACUCCAAGCUUCUCCCGUAUGUCUCUCUAUCUCUUACUCUAUCAUCCCCUUUUUUCCAAUUUGCAAUGAAUUUGGCUAUUUAAUGAUGAAAGGUGGUCAAGAAAUGAAGCUUUACACUUUCUCCUUACAGCUGGUAAUGUCUCUCACAUGUCUAGCAUCACAUGUGAGUUUGUGGAGGUGAAAUUGAGUUUUACGCGUAUAAAGCAGCCUUUUCUGACCAGUGAUCCGAGCUGCUACAGUGCCUCGGAUCCACUAACCCAGAAACAGCCGAGGGUUCGGAUGAAUAGUGGAUCCGAGUGUGGAUCACUUGCUCUGUUUUUGGCCCAACUUCAAUCGAUCUUUUCUUGAUGUUAGAGGCUGAACCAGCUCAUGUGUAAAACACGAAAGUUGUAGCCUUUUGAGUUAUCUUUCCAAUGCAUCAAGAAUCACCUCAUUUGGAUCUAUGUAGGCUGAGAUAUGACUGAAAUACCCUUGUCUUCUCAUUGCCCUGUUUCAGCUUCGACCAACAGAAAUUAGCUAAUGUAAUUCGGCUUUUUGAUUUUGAAAACCUUCAAACUGGAUUCGGAUGUCUUCACCAAAGUUGUAGAUCUAUCUCUUAUCUUCAAAUGGGUUCAAGAAUCAUCCCAAUCCGAUCAUUGUAACUCAAGUUAUAGCCGAAAUACGAAAAUGUGUCAAAACUGUCAAAAUACACAAAAUCCAAGUAAAAAGUGAUAAAAACCUCAUUUAAUCACUUAAAAGCAUUUAUCACCAAUUAUAGCCAAAAUGAUUCAUAUUCUUCCAAUAAUAUAACUAAAGUGACUAAAAAUAAUAUAAAAUGCCAUACAAUUAUUACGUAAAUUAGUCACUUAUCAGGAGGAUACACAUAAAACUGCUUUUCAGACUCAUCAGAGGCAUUAUGAAUUCCUGGUAAUGCCAUUGGAUCUGACAAAUGCACCUGAUAUAUUUAAGGCAUUAAUGAAUCAAGUGAUUGAGCCAUUCCUGAGGAAGUUUGUACUAGUUUUUUUUAAUGACCUCCUAAUUUACAGUUCUACUACACCUCAGACAGGUACUGGAGGUACUUGGACAGAAUCAAUAUGCCAAGCUAUCUAAGUGUUCUUUUGCUUAGCACAUGAUUGAAUAUUUGGGUCAUGUAGUGUCCAGUGAAGGAGUCAAUAUGGACACCAGCAAAGUGGACUGCAUUAGUUCCUGGCCCAUUCCUAAGUCUGUUAAGGAACUUAGAGGUUUUCUGGGACUCACAGCUACUACAGAUGUUUCAUAUGAGGAUAUGGAACCAUUUGCAAGCCAUUAACAGUCUUACUCAAGAAGGAUGCUUACUAUUGGAAUACAGAAGCUCAGAAGGCCUUUGAUCAACUGAAACAGUUGAUUAUCACUGCACCUAUAUUAAGAUUACUAAAUUUUGAUCUCCCAUUUGUCAUAGAAACAGAUGCUAGUGGUCAUGGUAUGGUACAGUAUUGUUGCAAGAAGGACAUCUCAUAGCUUUUAUCAAUAAAGCAUUUCCACCCAGAAAUAUGGGGCUGUCUGUGUAAGAGAAAGAACUGAUGGCAUUAGUAUUUGCAGUAACCAAAUGGAGGCACUACUUAGUGGGCAAUCAUUUCAUUAUUAAAACAGAUCACAAGUCCUUGACGUUCCUAUGGGAGCAAAGAUUAACAACCACUGCUCAAUACAAAUGGUUGACUAAGUUGCUAGGAUUGGAUUAUGAAAUACAGUACAAAAAGGGAACAGAAAAUACUGUGAUUGAUGUUCUAUCUAGAAGACAGGUUGCAAACUCUCAGGAUGUACCUCACCAAGUCAUGGAAUUGAGAAGUGUGCAACCUGUGUGGAUAGAAGAACUACAAAAUUGCUACUUUGAGGACACACAAUGUCAAGAGUUGAUGAGCCAAUUACUUUUGGAUCCUGCACCUCACAAUUCUGAUUUCCAGUUAACUAAGGGGCUGAUUAGAUAUAAGGGCAAGUUAUAUGUAGGAAAUGGUCAUGGAAUUAGACAACAAAUAAUCAAGACUUGACAGGUGCCGAACCUGUGCAAUAAUAAAUACCUACUCGAGAAAAAUACAGAUUUUGUAUAUAGCGGUGAGUAGGGUCGAAUCCACAGGGACUGGGGAUAAUUCGUUUCUUCUAGAGUUCAAAGUAUGGGGGAUUUUGGAUUAAAUGCUAACUAAAUAAAUUAAUUGCAGAAAAUAAUUGAUUAAGAGAAAUAAUUAAGGGAAAACUCUAGCCAAUGGUACACUUCAGAAAUGGUUCAUGCACUGAUCAUCGAUUCACAGAUAAUUCCACAUUUAUUAAUAGAUUGGUUAUAGUUGUCAUACACGCGAUAAACAACCAACCUUUCCUUACUUUCUCGAUAGUUAAAGUACGACCGUUAACUAUUUCUCUAACCAAAAAACAAUCUUAGGUACGACCGUAGGAUUUAAUUUCUAGAUUGCAUUAAUAAUUAGAAAGGCCCAAUCCUAACUAACAAACACGUUAAGAGGGUUUGUUUAAAUUACAUUGUAUGUUUCCCUGACAUAAACCCGAUUACGCCAGUUGCUACUGAGAUAAAGAUAACGAACAAUUACGGAUUCAAUUAUCCCUAUUUAGCAAAAUAGCCUAUGUGAAUAAUUAAAUAUUGCGCAUCUAUUCAAUCACUCACACGAGCUAUAGCAAUUAAAAGCAGGAAACAUAUAAAUAUCAAUAAAUUAAGGAAGCAAUUAAAAUAAAUUAGAUCUCACAGUAAUUAUUGAACUAAAUCUUCAGUUGUCCCUUGACUACUAGCAGUAGGAGGUUAGUCCUCCAUUAAUGGAGAACAACCCCCGCGGAAAAGCUAAGAAAAGAAAAUCUAAAACUAUGCUAAAAGCCUAAACUAAAACUUGUUUCUGCCGAGAGAGAGAGAGAGAGAGAGAGAGAUAUCCCCUGAAGCCAGCGAAGGGAUUGUAUUUAUAGAGUUCUCGUGCGGCUGUCUCCCAAAAGAGACCCAGUAGUCUUCCUGCUUUUGUGGGUCAGCACGUUUAGUCAAAGAAGGAACCAAAUCAAUUGAAAUCCAAUUGAAGUCUUGUUGCCAAAUGACUCUUCACGUGCAAAUUGGCUAAGUCAGCAUUGUUCCAGAAUUGUCACCCGCGAAGGAAUCUCCAAAUAUUUGGAAGUUUGCACGUGACCAACAAUCCCGCAAAUCCGGCUUUGGACAUCAUACUUAGGCGUGCCCACGUCUAACUGACAGGAAGGCUUCAAAAGUUAAUUUCCCAGCUCCUUUUGCCCCUAAAUGCUGCAAUUCGCAUAGAACACAAAAUCUCAGUAAAAUCCACCGAUUAGUGCAGUAUUUAGUCCAAAUAAAUAGGAAAAGCACGUGAGAAGACCGACUAAACUGCACUCUAUCAAUUACCCCCACACCUAGAUCAUGCUUGUCCUCAAGCAUGAGAAUAACAAAUCAAAUAAUCAAAUUCAAAUAAUGGCUAUUGCUUGAAUAUUCUAUUGCCAAACAUAUGUCAAGUAUUAGUGGCAAUUUGCAAAACUAUCUCUCCAAUUAGCUUUCAAGAUCAAGGACUCUUUCAAUUUAUGACUAACUAAUCUACGAAUAUAAAAUAUUCAACCAGCAGCUAUAAACAAAUGGUUCGACUAUUAAACAAAAUCUCAACAUUAAAAUUCAUGGAUCAGCGGGCUAACAAUUCAUUCACCUUUUUCACUAUUAGCACUUUUUCUAGAAUAUCCCCACUUGAUUGAUUUUUUUUUCUUCAGGGGGAAUACUUAGUUUUUAGCCAUUCAAGCAUUUUGACGCGAACUCCGACAUUGGCCAAAUGAAGGAGCCCGGUUACUCAGCCAUCAUCGCUUAAAAAUCACAUACUCAUAGUUAUCGUCGCUUUUUGACGCGAAAGUCGACACUUGUGGUGAAAACCUCCGAUUACUAGACAACGAUACUAGCGGAGUAUAGCUGAAUACUAUUCAUAAAUAAGCACAAAAAAAAAUUAAAUACCACAUAAACUCGCUUCAUUUCUUAAACAUGGAAAACUAAGAUUAAUAGCUUAGACCAAUUAUCUCUCCGGUAGAAGAUUGCCUUAAGUGGCACCUUACCCCAAAUGGACAGUUUAGCCUUAAAUCAGCAGUAGAUUUUAUCUGCUCAAAUAACACCCUUGUUGGAAGAUAUGGAACUUGAGAGGGAUUGGAUAUGGAAGAUCAUGGCUAGUAAUCGAGUAAGGCAUUUUCUAUGGAUUGCAUGCCAGGACAAGCUCCCAACCAAGAGCAAUCUACUCAAAAAAUUCAUUAUCCAAGAAGAUUGUUGUCCUCUAUGCAAUAAUAAUAGAGAAGACACCUAUCAUGUCCUGAUUUUCUGUCCUGGAGCCAAAGUUUUAUGGAGAAAGAUAGCUGUGCCUUGGAAUUUUUGGCCUUUUGAAGGAUAAAAUCUCUGCUCUUGGCUAAAGAAGAUAUGCAACAUGACAGAUUUAUCACCCCACUAUGGCAUACCAUGGGGAACCAUCGCAGCAUUUGGCUGCUGGAUGUUAUGGAAGAAUAGGAACAUGGCUCUGUUUGAACCUCAAUCCUGCCCACCAAAUCUUGCUUCAACAACAAUUGGAAUAGCAGCAGAAUUCCUAAGCAUCGGACCCAUAAGUAGUAAAACCAUCAAACAUAAGGAUCUUGUCAUGAUUGCUUGGGAAUCACCCCCUCCAUAUACUUUCAAACUCAACACGAUAGUGCUUCACUUGAAAACCCAGGACCAGUAGGGACCGGAGGAAUCAUACGCAAUCAUCUUGGAGAAUGGAUUAGUGGGUUUAUUAGAAAUCUGGGGUGGACUUCAAAUACAAGUGCAGAAUUAUGAGGGUUAAGAGAUGGGCUUCUCCUGGCAAAAUCUCUUAAUAUUCAACACCUUCAUAUUGAGAUGAAUGCUUCUGUGAUUGUCCAUUUGAUCUCUACAGAAACUAAUGAUACCUACUCCUACUCUUCUAUGAUUAAUGAUUGCAGGAAUAUCAUGAGGAGUUUCAUCACAACUACCAUUAAACAUGUCUUCAGGAAAGCAAAUUGCUGUGAUGGGAUGCAAAAACAGAGGAAGAAGGCCUCAAGGUGUUCAAUGACCAGCCUGCAGCCAUUGCAAAACUAGUAGAGAAUGAUUGUAGGGCACUUUGUUUGGCCCAUUUUGUAAAUUCGAGAUCUUAAACUCGAUCUUAGCACUGGAUCUUGUACUGACUGUUUGAAAUUUACUAACUUCUUUCUUACCCAAAAAAAAAAAAACUCACACGGCCACAAAGUGCAGAAUUAUAGUCCCCACGAGUACUACUGCUAUUCCCUAUUCGGUGAAGCAUUGCCAAACUCACAUUAUAAUAGUAGGGCUCCACCAAUUACAACUCUCAAAACAAAGAAAAGCUACCAUUUUCUCUUUUACUAUAGCAUUUAAAAUAGCAAGCAUUGGCAGUGUACAUACAACCAGCAACACUAGCGAAUUUGACACAUCAAAUCAAUCCCCUUAAGAUGUCAAGUUUACCACUGCCCAAUGAAUAAAUCAAAGGUAUAGAGAUCAGAAUCACACAACUCUCCGGACCAGUAAAAUGAGGGGAAAAAUACAACUUGGAACACAUGGCAUAUCUUGACAGGCAAGAAAGAAAAAUCUAUCGACGAAGCAAAAUUUAGAACUUGGGUUAUGACAAAAGCUUUGACGAACUAGCCAAAAACCGCGUUUUGCCAAGAUGGUUGGAAGCUCAUCGCCUCCUCAUCCCCCUUCCACGACCUCGGAAUGCUGCACCUCCGCGCCCUCUACCCAUAGCACUUGCAGCAGCAUCUCCUUGUGCGCUCUCGGACUGUAAUUGGGAAAAAGCAUUAGGAACACCGCGCAUUGCAGGAAACAAAAACUUGGGCGGUGAAGAGAGUCAUCUAACUAAAUCUUGAAGGUCAUCAAUCAAGACUAGAGAAGCAAAUGAACAUUCUACUUUCAUAGAAAACAUCAGCAUUUGAGAAGCCAGUCUAGAAGACUAUACAACUUAACAUACAACGAAAUCACCAGCAAUAAAUAGCGUCUAAUGCCGCAAAUAAGCCAUUUCCUUUUUUCCACAUCAACAACUCAAAUAAGGAGGUAAUUCUCACGGCAUCAACGUUACUUUUACAAUGAAGAACUUUUAAAUUUUAAGUCCUCAACUGUUGAGCUAGGCUGCACCUUUUCAAACCAAGGCCAAUAUUGGGUCAUCCUUGAUGAGUGUAAAAUGAAGUGCACGAUGUGACCAGUCUUUGACACUACUCAAAAGUCCAAGACCCUGAUUGUUGAGGCCCCAAGGUUGAGAAAUUUCUUUUGUGAUGACCUUAAAAACCAUGUUUACAUUUACCAUAUACAUAAUAUAGUUACUUAUAUCUAAUGUAUACCAAAAAUUACAGCUAUAUAUGUUUUUUGUUCAAUAUAUCUAUAUAUGUGAAUGAGUUUCCAUAUAUCUUAAAACUUUUUAUGGAAAUCUUCAUAAACAAGAAGUCUUUGAUUUUGAUAAAUUAAUAUGUGAUAUCCAAACUGAAUAAGGAAUAACUCGCAUUUUGUAUAUUGUGAUUUGACAAAAGUUUUUGUCCUGAUUUCACAUUCACCUGCUGCGUUUGCAAGGCUGACCAGUAUUGGCACCCAAAAAAAAAAAUAUUUGAUCAAGGUUUGGUCAGUCAAUUGAACAUUACACAUUACCUUGGGAUUUUUAACUGUUUCAUCUACACUUAAGAUCAGGCAAGCUGCUUCAGUAGCUGCAUUUAUGGCAUUUAUCUGCACCACAAAAAAAAGAGUUACAAAGCCAUAAUUCUUCUUAAACUACUUCUGUCAGCAGAAAAGUAGUGUUUCAGUAUCGGAUAGAAACAUGGUAGACACCUUCACCACUGAUGGCUCCCAUACAAAGUUGGCAAAUGAAUCAGCGAUUCCACCAGUAUUAAUAUCCACCCCAUAAAGUGCACCCUCACCUGUUCAGAUUCGUUGCAGCAAGUGACUAAGUUGACAGGAAAAAGGAAUCACAAACAAUCUACACAAAACAAAGUCUAUCCACCCAAAACUGAGGGCUUUGUAGCAAAGUAGCGGACAAGCAUCCUGUUAUUGAAAAGAGGGCAAGGAUAUAAUAUCAUAGACAUCCACAAAAAGCUCAAGGCGAACCAGAUGGCAGUGCGUGUUUUUGUCUUAAUUUGUUCAAGACAUCAGUUGCAUCAAAACCAGCAUUGUCACACAACUGCCGGGGGAUUAUCUGCAAGAAGUGGCAGAAAAUAUAUUAUUUGUCAACAGCAGACUGCGAUUAGAAAACCAAUACCUCCCACUAACAAAUCACAACAUUAACAAAUUCAGAGCGACAAUGCAAGGAGAUAGUUCAAUUCUAAUCCAAAGAAGAAGCUAGUGUAUAACUCUAAUUGUAGCUAAAUAGAAUACUAUACAUAAAGUGCAGCCAAUUCCUUGUCCAGUAUGACACACAAAAAUCUGUCAGGUAUAAUGCAAAUUUAAAAGAGAUCAAAGCACACCCCUACCAAGUACAACCAACAAAAGAAAAGGAAACCAAAAUCUCAGAAAAUAAAAUUGCAAACAUGAGAUUUCCGAUGCCCUUUCAUUCCAUUGUUUUGCUAAUGUGCCAGAAGGGAGAUCAUUGUAUAGACUCUAGCAUCUCUUUACAAGAGAUACAUGAAAUUCAGGCUGACCUUAGGUUAGCACUGCUCCAAAAUCCAAAAGAAGUCCCAGAGGUUUUACCUCCAGAGCAGACAACACCCUCUUUUUUCUCUAAAUAUACAUGAGGUGACUAAACAAGGAAGAUGAAAUCUUCAAACUACAAGAACUCAAAGAAAACUCUACCUACAGAGAUGCUACACCUACCAUUAAGGAUGAAUGGAUGUACUAAGAAAUUUCAGAAACUUUGGAAGGAGAAUUUCAUAUAAGAAACCAACUACCAGGACAUAAAACCUCAUAUAGGAAUAGAAAGCACAAGCUCAAGAAAUAGAAUGCCUACCUCAAGGGCUUUAGCAUAAGAAUUAAUAAAGAGCUGAGACUUCCCAGCUAUUGUACGCGCAUGCUGCCUCAAGUAUCUGCUUAUCUCCAUCUGCAGCCCAGCAUAUUCAGUGAUCAAGAAUCAAGAUUCUAAGAAUCAUAUAAAUAUAUUGAAUAUCCUAAAAGAGAUCUCUAAGUCAUACAUCUAUAGCACCACCACCAGCAACAACAGUAGAGUUCUUCACAGCCCUUCUCACAAUCAUAAUUGCAUCAUGCAGACUUCGUUCAGCUUCCUCAAUAAACUGAGUACCAUUCAAGCCAAAAGAUUAGACUCAAUUAAAUUGCAAUAGCAUGCAUAGUGUCAUUAAUAAGCACCUGAUCUGCUCCACCGCGAAGAACAAUAGUGGCUGUCUGGCCUGAUGGGCAUCCGCUAAAAAUAUUAAACCGCUCAUUUCCAACUUGCUUCUCCUCAAAUAUCUCACAAGAGCCAAGAACCUUUUGACCAAAAAUAUGAAAAAGAAAAGCCACACACACACAAACACAUGCAGAAAAUGAAAAAAAUGGUUACUAACAGAAAACAAAUCCGACAAAAGGAAAUUUAUACUUGGGGAAAGUUUUCCACUCUGUCCAACUAAAUUGGCAUGUAAUGUAAAGGAAGAAUUGUACCUCAUCAAUAACAUUAUUCACUGUGGUCUGUAUAGUUCCGCCAGUUGCAGCAGCCACCCGAUGCAGAUCCUCCUCAGUAACACGACCAGCACAGAAUACAUCCCGAUCUGCAAAAUACUGAUGAAAGCCAACAGGAUCAAUAGAUCUCAUAAUGAUACUAAACAUAAGUUGUCCUGCAAAAUGCAGAAAACAGUUCUAUACAUAAACAAAACUAAAGUAGAGCUUGACAUAAUAUAUAAUCAAUAAAGUAUAGCCCUACUUCUCACGCUGCGCAGGGAAGAAAUGCCAUACUUCAAAUCUAAUUAAUAAAUUUAAUUUUCUAUAGAUGUUCAAUAAGUUCAAUAGGAAAUUUAAAGUUCUAUACAUAAAGCAAACCCCAAUUUAAAACAGCAGCAGCUUUACACAUGGGGACAAGCCCAUGCAGCACUAAAGAAACCCAGAAAUUUGUUUGCCCACAUGAAAAUUUAAUCAUUAAGCAAUUAAGCAAGCAUUACCUGCGUUGCUAGGUCACCAAUAGCCAGCCGAGAUAAAAUGAUUUUAGCCCCACUUUUCACACAUUUAUCUAACUUGUCAUAAAUGAUAUUCCAUUCUGCAUCAACUAUUGACUGAUACUGCGAUGGAUCUGAGAGCCUGUCAACAACAUUUGCUGAGUAACACACACAUUUUUAACACGAAAUAUGAAAACAAUUGCUUCUGUGGAUAAAACUGCAGAAAAACAUACUACCUUAUUUCAGCAUUCUCUUUCUCUGAUUUCAGUUCCAAUUCUAUAUUCAGCAAAAGUAUCUUGGGAUUUACAAAUUUCUUUGGUUGCUGUUCAAAACCAGCAUAUGAGAAUGUUUUCUUAAAGGCAACGCCAUUUACAAGAAAAGAAUCCCUCAUGUUACCACCAGGAACCUACAAAAGUAAGAUUCUUAUCAUUACAUACUUCAAUGAAACCACAAAAUUUCAAGCUUUUGUUACAGGUAAAAAGGUCAAGCUGGAGAAGGGCAAAAAAUAACCUAAAACCAUAUAACAGUUAUCAUGACUGUAUUAUACACGAUAACAAUGUAAUGGGUUAGGACAAGCAUAGAAAAUUAAACCAUGCACAACAUAUAUCGCCCAAAAAACUGAUCCUAGUUAAGUACUAUUGACCCAAAACUGAAAUGUAGUAAAGGUGAAGUGGGCCAAUAGUGUAUAUAUAGUCUCUGAAGAAUGCAUCAAAAAAGUCUAGCCACCCAUCCAAAUAUGAUGGAACUCAGGUGUGUGAAAAGAAACAAAUGGUAUACACAUAUGAGUUUAAUUUCCACAUCUAAGACAAACACUCAAUCUGCUCAUCCAUUGCACAGUAUUGUUUGGAAGCCGACAUUAAUUACCAUAUAGUGGUGAUAGCAGAAAAACAAGGCACUUUCAGAGAAAGGAUCUUAUGCACUCAGAUAUUCCCCCAAACUAGAAUCUGCAUAAGACAAGAUUGCUAAACCACGAAAAACUUUUUUCAAGUUGGGUACAAAUUUAAAAAAGAAAAAUUAGUUACGAGAAGAUCACCAGCCUUGUGAUUAUCAAACUUUUAUCAAUCCACAUCAUGGAUAGAAAGAAAAACAUAUAGACUCAGGUAUCUACUCAAAAACUAUCUAUUACAAAUACUUGAUGCUAUUCUGCGACAGCUUAAGUCCACUAUGUCAUUCCUAUCCUUUACAAACCCUUGUCUAAGUGAAUCAAAAGUCAACAACAAAGCACUGAUAACGGUAGCAAAUAAUUUUGGAGUCCCUGUGUCUAAUUUGGUACAAACAUUUUGGAAACUCAGCCUUUUUGUUUAUUAAAUCCCUUAAUGUUGUGAGCUAUCAAGAGAAAUGUUAGGAAAUAUAUGCAAGAUUGAAUUUGGAAUGCGAUAUACUAGGCAAAUUUUGAUAGGCGAUACCCUUACCAUAUGACAGAAAUAGAAAGCAUGAAAAGGUUAAUAAGAAGGAGAUAAGCGGAUGAAUUCCUUAAAGGAAUUUACUUGAACAAAGAAAACAAUUUACCUACCCAAAAAAUAGAACAGAAAAUGAAUGGAAAGACUGACCCAAAAAGUUCUUUAAACAACACCCAAGUGAAUGACUGCUUCUACUACUAAAGCUUUCAAACUUGCAAGCAAUUGUAGCUACAGUGCAUAACCCGUGAAGAGAAUCAAAUGCAAAACAACAUACCAGAUAUAUAAAGAGUAAAAAUGAGGAGAAAUAAAAAUUCGAAACUCUGAAGGACAAAAUAUAAGUCACACCAAUCUCUCAAAAGAUAAAUUAUCAGAAUUCGAUGAGCAGUUUAGAUGGUUAUUAAAGUAUCCCAUGACCUGGAAAAAAGUUUACAAGCACGUGACUAAUACCUAAAAGCACCCAUUGCAUACCUUUUUGAUACCAAUCAUGUUUAGCCUAUCGUCAUUUCCAAUAGCAAGGACAGCAUCUACAACCAUAGAUGCAAAGAAAUCCUUCUCACCACCAAUGAGUUUUGAGGAGAGUGAUGUAGCAGCACAGUUAGCUAGUAAGCUUUUCUUCUCUUCUAAGCUCUUUCCUUCAAUGCUAACAGCCAAUUCUUUCACCUUUUCAAUUGCCUAUAGCAGCAUGAGUGAUUAAAUCAACAGCCAGUUUAAAUUUAAUGUCAAACACUAAAGGCCAAUAAGAAUUAUAUAGUUCUAUGCUUGUACCAAAUGGCCAGCUGUACGAUAACUUCUAAUCAGAUUUUGAGGAUGCACUCCAUCUUCAAUAAAAGGUUUUGCCUCCUUCAAGAACUCUGCUGCUAGCAAAACAACAGUUGUGGUCCCAUCACCAACCUGAAGCACAGCAGGAAAUAAGUCAGCUUUUUCGAAAUAUUAACCGCUCAGGCAAAUAUUUAAAACUUUAAGACGACAUGAAAACAAUCAUGCAUGAAUGCCUAGGACUAAAAUGCACUAACUAUUAACUUAUUUACAAGUGAUUUAACUGUCAAGUAUCUUCCCAUCCUCCAAUCAAUCUCUAAGCAACAGUAAACAUAAUCAUACAACAUAUACCAAAUGGCCUAAAAGGUGCAAGUAAUGGCAGAAAUGACAUCUGCAUGUUGUAAAUCAUUGAGGUUAAAAAAAAAAAUCUGUAACAAGGCACAGUGAACAAAUAUGAGAUGGCACACAUAAUGUGCCAGUUCUUAUUUGCAUAACUUAAGGCCAAGAGUUCAAGAUAAUGUGCAUAUUGUUUCAUUCAUCCUGAAGACAAAGGACAAUUUUUUCUAAUCCCAACCAACAACAAAAGUUAUUUUGUCUUAACCUUCCAUUUAUUGAGGACAACAACGGAUGUGGCAUCCCACUUUUUUAUUGUCCAGCUAGCAGAUUAGUCACAUGACAGAUGUGACACCGAGUAGAAGCAAACUAGAACAGACCAUCUGCUACAUGGUUGCAGAAAUUCCUAUUUUUUCAUUACUCAAAAAUCACAGUAUGACUAUAUUUCUAACAUGCUGCUAAUCCACUAAUUUUAUAUUUAGAAAAAAAAAAGAAAUCAUUAUUCUUGACUCAAAUGAAUUUGCAUCAAACAACAUCGAUCAUUCAUGAAAACAAAAACACAAAACCAACUGCAGUAACCACAAUAGAGGUACCUCAGAGUCCUGGGACUUGGCAAUGUCAACAAGAAUCUUAGCCGCAGGGUGAAUAAUGUCGAGAAGCUUCAUUAUUGUGGCACCAUCAUUGGAAAUAGUGGUGUUACCCUUCUCAUCAUGGAUCAACUUGUCCAUACCCCUAGGUCCAAGGGUGCUGCGCACCACAUCAGCCACAGCUGUACAAGCAUUUAUAUUGCUCAACAACUGUGGCUUUCCUUGGGAUGUAUCAGUGCCUUCCUUUAGCAGUAUGAUCUGAGGUUGCUGUUUUAUUGCCACAUACAGGAAUACUGUUAGUUGAAGGAUUAAUUUAUCUUCAGAUUCUUCAACUCUCUAUACAGUAAGCUAAAUCAAGCAAAUUUAACAUAUUAAAAAAACUACCUUCUCUUUCUAAUUAAUAAAAUGGAACGUUAUUUCUUGAAUAUUUUAUUAUUUAUAUGGAGAUGCAAAAUUUUUCAUUUAAUACUGUUGAAAAUAUUAAAAAAAUGCAAUAGAAAAUCCCACUAAUUUUACAAAUUUCACCAACAAUUUGGUCAUUUUUUUCCCUUAAUUUCCCUCGCUUCCUGUAGAAACAUAAAGAAUAAAGCAUUUUGACAUACAUUUUCCCUAUCUCUUCCUUCCCAUUGCCCAAAAACUAAAAAAGAGAAAACAGGGCUAAAAAAAAAGAAAAGAAAAAUUCAAGCACUUACAUUUUAUUAAACCUACAGGAACUCAAUAAAACGAGUUUUUUUUUUCCAACUAAACCGCACUAACAAAAACACCUCGAUUGAGCUUACCUUUGUAACAUACAGAUUUAAGCAACAAAGAGCUCACACUCAACAGAUCAACAGCACUUCUCCUACUCUUUCUUUCUUUCUUUCGUUUUUUCUCAACAUAAAUUUUACCCCUAAUCUUUAAGAAGUGAGCUUGGUGGUCGUAAAAUUUCCGAAUCAUCUUCAUUUCUGCAGUUUCUGAUAUACUUUUCUCUCACAUUCUUCGAAUCAUGACAUUACAAAGAAAUGAAGCAGCAAAAGAUGCGAACUUGCAUACAUGCGAUAUACGUAGAGAAUCUAGAAAGGACAACUUACCAGCAUAGUCGCCAUUGUUAGCCCGAUGCGGAGGACGAGGACUGGACGAGUAGAGAGUGGUAAGCAGUGGAAAGUUCUAGGGUUUUAAACUUGUUUUCUCAGAGGUGCAGGGUUUCUGGGGACUUCAAACCUUUUUCCUUUUAAUAAGGGAAAAUGGCCAUUUUCUUCCCUAAAUUUUUUUUGUUUAUCAAUUUAGUCCCUAACUUUUAUUUUUAGCUAAUUUAAUACAUGAAUUUAAUUUUCGAAUUCAAUUAAGUCCUUCUACGGCGACGCCACCACCUAAAAGUAAUUUAGCUCCUAAUUUAACAUUAAACAAGGAUAUUUUGGGAAUUUUGAAUUAUCUCUUCUCCACUACCAGCCUCCGCCACCAACCACCCGCCUCCUCCUUCAUGAUCGGCGAUUUUGGAAUACAUUUUGGCAAUUUGGCAACCCUGGCGAGGCCCCUGCAAUCUCAAAACCCCACCAAUGAAGAUGAACCACCACCACCACUGCCACCCCAGCAGCUGCCCCUCUCACCACUACCACAGCCACAACCACCGCCUCAACUACCCCAAGAAAACCAACCUUCCACCUGCGAAAUUUGCAUCGAACCCAUAAUUUCACCAACCCAAUUAUUCAAAAGCCCAAACAAUGAAAAAUGCAGGCCCCACGCAUUCUGCAAAUUGUCAACCAUAACAACUAUAGUACCCAAGUUUUUCCAUGGCGGUAAAAAUCACAAAAGCCUCAAGUCUCCAAGAGUGGAAUCCCAUGUUUGAAAGAGAAGCCCAGCCACCUUAGGCAUGCAUGUUUAGAGUAUAAAUAGGAAUUCCCUCUUCCAGACUCACUGACACAAUAAGACAAAAUCAGAGCAUCUCAAGGAAGGCUGAAGAGUUAACGAAGGCAGAGGCAGCAGCCAAGUUGAGGGAGCAACGGCGACUAGAGGAGAAAGCUAAGGCUCUGGAGGCACUGGAGAGGAAAAAGAGGAUCGCAGAGAAAGCGCAAAUGAGGGCUGAAUUACGAGCACAGAAAGAAGCCGAGCUCAGAGACAAGGUAAGAAAUUUUAAAUUUCCAAUUCAUGUGCCUGAGUAAGUGUGCUUUUCUUCACUUGGCUUUCCAUCAAUGACGUCCGUUUGAUUUGUCUAGGAAAGGGAGAAGAGGUUGAGGAAGAAGGAGAGAAAGAAGGCCGAUGGAGCAGAAGUUCCCGAUGGAAACGAUAUUGGGGAAUGCACUCCAAAAUCUGAAAUCGUACCUGGAACAAUAAAGGAAUAUGAGGUUAAGUACUGUUUUCCUACCGUUACCAAAAGAUCUCAAAAACCAUCAGUUGUGGUGAAGCAAAGCAAGACAAAAUCUAUCCCUCCGCCACUUAGGAACAGAUGUAAAAGAAAAAUGCAGCAGUGGAUGUGGAUAAUUUUGACAUGCGUGGUUGUUAUUGCUCUGUUCUUGCUGGGAAACAUUGGCUUCUUCUCCAAUCUUUCAAAUUUUAGGCCGCGGAGCCAUAGUAAUCCCUCCGCGCGGUGGAUUACUGGUGUUGCUGGUAUAUCCAAAAUCGCCGAUCAUGAAGGAGGAGGGGGGUGGUUGGUGGUGGAGGCUGGUAGUGGUGAAGAGAUAAUUUAAAGUUCUCAAAAUGCCCUUGUUUAAUGUUAAAUUAUGAGUUAAAUUACUUUUAGGUGGCGGCGCUGCCGUAGAAAGACUUAAUUGGAUCCGAAAAUUAAAUUCAUGUAUUAAAUUGACUAAAAAUAAAAGUUAGGGACUAAAUUGACGGACAAAAAAAGUUUAGGAACGAAAAUGACUAUUUUCCCUUUUAAUAAUUACUCCUACGAAUUAAUGUUCUCUUUUGUAUUUUGUCUCGGAAAGAUUGCACUUAACUCCCUUGAAGUCCUAUCAGCAACAAUUUGGACCUUCCAUUCCAUGUUUACUCGAUUUGUACAUUAAUAUUUGGAUAACAUAUUGUGAAUCCAUUUAUCGAAAAGAAAAUAGUAAGUUAUUUUAUUUGCCACUUUUGACUAGACACUAGUUUGAAAACAAUAUAUAUAUGUAUAUAUAUUGUUAAUAUAUAUUUAUUAUUUGAUAUCUAAUUAGAUAAUGAUACGCCCAAUAUUACAAAAGCUAUGGUAUAAUGUUCUUUUGUAAUAUAUUAAAUUUUAAUAUUAAAGAAGUAAUAAAAUUCUAAAAGUCAUCAGAAUAAUGGAAAGCCAUUUUAGAAGCACAUAAAGAGUUUUAACUAAGUUAUAUAAAUAGAUCCCUUACUAGGAAUAUCACAAUAAGAUAUUUUAAAACAAAUCUUUUCAUUCUUAUUUGAUCAACACUACUUUUAAACUAGGUUAAAUAUCAUGAGUCGUACUUGAUGGUUUAAAAUCAUGUUAUUAUAUAAUAUUUUUAAGUUAAAAGUAUUUUUUUAUUUUGAUUUUGUAUUUUUUGUUGUAUUAAGUUAAAAGAGGAAAAGAAUCAUAAUUAUGAGAAGCUGCUAUUGAAAUACUUUUACAAAUAAUUGUAAGAAUUUCAAAAUUUUCAGAAAUGAAAUUAUAUACUUGAUUAUUGACUACUAAUUCUAGAAGCGAAAAAUAACCAAUAUAGUUUUUACAAAGAUUAUUAAAAGAAAUUGACAAUUUACCAUGAUUGACUACUAAUAUUGGAAAUUUUCUUUCCUUGGCAACAACUAAACUAUGGAUCAAACAUGGGGCCGAUGAGAAAAUCCUAUAAGACUAUUCUAGUGUAACUAUAAUUUCAAAAAUCAACGCGCAGUUUCUUCAAUUAUAAAAAUUAAGAGGAGCUCUAAUGUAAUUUACCCAAAAUAUUAAUUCCUUCACAAACGCUUCCAGAGUCGACACCAGACAUUGCAGAGAAAGAAGAAAUCACACAAAAUUGCAAACUUCAUCAUCAAAGAUGGAUAAGGUAAUUAUCACUCCUUACGGUUCAAUUUAUAAGGCUUGAUGAUUCUUUCCUCCUCUAAUUCUAAUUCUCCCUAUAUGACCCGAAGAAAGGUGAAGAAUUGUAAAAAAUUUUUUUUUUUUUUGCAGGGUCUUAAUGAGAUUAAUUAUGAAACCUCUGCAGAUUCAACAACGGUUGAGAAAUUGGAAUCACUUUUGGACGCAAUCGAGGUAGGUUUGCUUAUGAUUCUCUGGAACUUUUUAAUCAUUAGUUUUUUCUUGCUCUUUUUGUGCCAAAAGUUUGUAUUUGUCAAUAUGAAUUACAGGGUCCAAUGAAUUACUUUUUGGAAAGUUGCUUCUUUUGCAAUGUGUUAUGGAUGCACUUUAGAGCUAGUUUGUUUUAUUUCUAGCUUCUCGAUCUGAUCAUUCAAUAGUUGCGACGUUGAUAAUAAAUAUGUUAGUGAGUAAUAGUGCUCUUCUUGCAUUCUCUUCUCAAAUUUGAUAAUUUUUUUUUGUUUGUUUAUGAUCUUAUGACAAAAGUAUGAAAAAGAACAUAGACAAAACUGACUAAAGCUCAUGAAGAAAAUGAAAAUUAAUAAGAUAAAUAGUACCUAACACUUCACUGGUGGAUGCAGGAGUCAGGACUUUUUUUGGGGGGGGGGGGGGGAGGCAGUGGGACUCUAUGUUUGUCCUUUUGAUCUUUAGCAGGGCCGAAUUUACUUUUUGGUUGGAAGUAAGUGAGAUUUGUAGCUUUGUUUGGAAAUAACAUAUUCUUAAAUCCCCGGGGGGUGGGUUAUGGUCAUUUCUUAGUACGUGUCCGUAUGAAUAAACAUAUGGGUAUUUAGCUACAUGCUGACAUUUAUGCAUGCAAAUGUAGGUGUAUGUUGGUGUGUUAUCUAAUGGUUUUGUUACUUGGAAAUUGGAUUGCUGCAGGAUCUUGAAAGGCAGGAAUCAGAAGUCCAAUCCCGUUGUAUUGUAGAAUAUGCGAAAUUGUUGGCUGAGGUUAGUGAGCUCGAGGAUAUGCUACAAAAUGAUGUAGGAGGGGAUUUUGUGUAUGGCAUUCUUGAUGACAGUAUAAAUGAGUCUAAGGAGAGACUGAAUAUGCUGAAGAAGGUAAGCACUAAAUCCUUUGUGUCUCUCCUAGAUCUACAGCUUGAAAGGAUUUGAUAUUGAAAUGACAUUAGUUUUUAUAGAAAUUAUUUAUACUCGAAGCAGUCAUUGAAAUGCCCCUUUUUUAUAAAAACUUCUGAUCCUUUAAGUAUUUGACUUUAUGAUUCUCAGUAGUAGGUCACUAAAUUGAUUUUCUUGAAUGGCAUAAGGAUUGUGGUUGGUGACCAAGGAGUUAUAAAUAAUUGAAGGAGCUAUAGUGAAUUAUCUUUGAUAUACUACUUUAUUACAUAUGUAGGUUUCCCAGAGAAAGAGAAAUUAGUUUGGCCGAGGUGGAAACCUCACUCUUUUAAAGGUGAAAACCCAGACAAAUACCCUCAAUUUGGGUUGUUUUUUAUGAAGUGCAGUAGUUUAUCACCCUCUGCUGUGCCUUAUUGGUACUCUAGGCAUGCUUAGUUACUUAUUGGGAUCUUUGGAGACAUCGGAAACACUUAAAAUGUUGUUUUGAUUUUUGGAUUUCCUGUUUACCCUUCUAGUUUUCCUAUUUCUUUGCCUGUCAGAAUGUUUCUUUAUCAAUCAGCAUAGGGCCUUAAGUACAAUUCAAAGGGCAUAUUCGUUAGGAUUAUUAAAUUGUGUGUGGCAAAUUGUUUAUGAUCUGUUGGCAGGAGCUCGCAUCUAAAUUAAGAGCUAUCUUACUGCUAAGAAGACAGCUUGAUGACAUUCCCGUACCUGCUGAACUCCUCCAGUAUGUCAGUUUUUCAUAGCGGUAUUGCUUUAGAAAUUCAUUUAGCAAUUAAAGUGUCUUACUAUUAUUGCUACUCUCAAGAAUUUUUAUUUUUUGUCAUGAAAGCAAGGACUUCUCAUACAAAGAAAACCACUUUUUUGGCAUUCUGCACUUGCUGAGACCUGUUUGUGAUCGUUGAUUUGGUAAAGAAAAGUUUCAGACUAUUAACGGGUCAUGGUGUUCUGUUGUAGGAAACUAGGCCAUGCAGUAGUACAUUUUACGACUUUUGUUUCUCCGUAUAGUAUAAUAAUCCAAUAAACUUUAUUUUCAGGUACGAACUAUGCUUUUCACAGCUUUAUACCAGCAUUCAGGUAUGGACAUUUUCUGCAUGUUUGAUGCAUUUAAAAAAAAAAAAAAAUCAUUUAUUGGCAUUUAGCCACUAAAUUGUCGUGUCACUGGUAUUCUUCAGAAAAAGCUUCGACAAACUCGAAAAUACUAUGAAACCUUCAAUGCACUACUGGAGAUAAAGGAGUUAAUGCUAAAGGAGACAUCCUUGCUCAACUCCAUAAGUUCACAGGUAAAAAGAGUGGCAUAACCCUGUUUUCUUGUUUGUUUGGUUUGGGCAUGCAAUGAUUGUGUUGUGAGAUGUAAGUUGCAUUUGCUUCCAUUUUUUUUGUUUUUUGGGUACUAAAAGUAGGAGUAUUUUAUCCUAUAUAUUAUAUGGCUAAUUUAUUUGAUGAAUGUAAAAAUGAAGCAAAUGGAUCACUAUUGAUAUGAAAUGCUCAAGAACUAGAGCCUUAGAUUUUUCGAAAGCUCCAGCCACUCAGUUAUUCAGAGUUGCAUUACUGAACAAUAGGCAUUGAGAUUCAUAUGUUGGAACUUUUAUCUCUGGUGAUCAAAAAUGUUUGUACUAGAAUCUGGUACAGGCUUCCCUAUUAAUGUAGAAUUACUUUGCUUGAUUCUACAAGUGGGUUUCUUGGAUCCAAGAGCUUAUUUGGCAUGGUUAAGAUAGUAGGAGAACAUAUGGUGGAACUAAUGCUUGGCCUUUGAAUGGCUGACUGGCUGAAGAGAUUGAGGCCCUUUAAGUGGACUUGAUAAAUUUAAGUAGUUGAAAGGCAGCAUUGGUUGACAACUAAUAAGAUUCAGAGGUGACCUUGUGCUGAAUAAGAAGAGAAAGAUGUUUUCAGACAUUAACAAUGAAUGGUGAGUGGAGUUAUUAGGUGGAUGGUGAUGGAGGGAAGUUGCUAAGCCAAAAUUGUGAACCAAGGGACAAGACACUACCUGGAAGUAGGAAGAGAUGAAUGGAGAAUGAUGCUUGACAGUGCAUGGAAAGAGAAGGAAAUUGUUGAGUCUGUAAUAGGCCUUAAUAUGCAUUUUCAUGUCUUUCUCCAAGCUAUUUGCAUUCUAGAUGUUCACUCUUCUAAUGGUGUUCUAUAUGGAGCCUUUUCCCUGCCUCUUGUUCUGUUUAUGGAAUUCAAAACCCCCUCAUUCCUUCAUUUGGUUGUCUCAUUAGUCUGGUGAUUGCACAAAUUUAAGAAUUUUUUUUUUAUUUGUAAAAAAUGAAACAAGCUCCAUGGAUAAUUUGCUUAAACUAAGUCCUCUUUGCAACGUAACAUUGCUCCAGGUUGUCUUCUUAUUAUGGGCCUAUGUGUUCUAUAAUUUAAUUCUACCUCUUAAAAAUUUGCUGUGGAGCAUUUUUAGCCUAGAGUUGAAACAAUGUGUUAUACCUCUUGUAAAAAUACUGCAGUCGAGUAUGAUUCAAAUUCUCUUUUGUGUUUAUCUGUAUAAGACUCUUUAUGUGCAAAAGAACUUACUUUCUGAGUACAUGCUGCUAGGAGCCUUGGAGUUUGAUGGAUUUUAUUUAGAUUUGUCAAUGAAGGAAAACUUUUAUAUGUUGGAAUUUCAAAAUUGAGUGUGUUAUUGUACUCUUAAACUGUAAGCUUAACUAUUCUAUUCAGAACUUGAGAAACUUGAUUUACGCUAGAGCAUAUUAUUCUGAGUUCAACCAAUUUUAAUUGAUGUAGAGUCCUCAAUCUGUAAAAGUUAAACUCCAUCAGAUGCUGCAUGAAGACAAGGCAUGGCUUAAAUGGCGAAGGUGUCACUGUAGAACCACAAUAUCAAAGAAUUUUAUGUCUGUGGCAGAUUGGUCGAUGCUUUUGAUUUCGUUUUCGGGACAUCCGUAGUGAAGAUGAAUUAUAUGUGCCUUUUUUGCUACUUUAAGCAACACAUAAAAGCUAUUUUGGAAAGUCACUUUCUGUGGAUUGUGCUGUGUUAGGGUAUCAGGCCAACUAUUUGAGAUAUGAAAAACCAACAAUUUAAUAGAAAACAAGAACUAGCACGAAUAAUGAGUCAUACACAAGAAUUAACGUGGUUUGGCUUAAUCACCAAGCCUACAUCCCUGGAGAGAAAACCUGUUGUUAUUAUGAGAGAAAAUACUACAAGAUUACAACUUGAAUCCCAAACUCAACCCUUGUAUAACCACUCUCUCCUAUCAAGAACCCUCUCAUCCCUUUUCUUGUGUGUCUUUGUAGAAUGCUAAUCUAUCUAUUUAUAGAGAAUGUUACUUGGCCAAGAACCAAUAACAAUAGGAAACAACUAUGAAUUUCUAAACUUAUACAAAAUAGGAAAUAACUUGUCAACUACUUCAAGUAACUAAACAAUUAGGAAACUAGUUAUUUCCACACAAAGCAAGGAACCUGCCCAAAGAAAUUAAGCCAAUUUCUUAACAUGCUGUAUGAAUAUCUGCUGCAUAUGUUUAACAUGCUGACCAUUUUAAACUUCUGUGCUUGUGCAAUAUAUUGUCAGUUGAGUACUAUAUCAUUCUGGGAACUGAUUUGAUUGUUUAAUUUUUACACAAUUGAUAUAUUCUUAUCCUUCAUGUUUUGGUUGCAUGUAAACUUGAAUAGUUCCAAAAUGCCAUCACCAGCCCCACUGGCCGAACAAAACUCGUUGAUUCCAUGAAGGGCAUUCUGCAGGGGAUUCAGCAGGUGCCAGUGUUAUUAUUUUUCAUGCAUGUGAAGAAAAAAUCAAUUUAGCUUGUCUGUCUUACAAGUCAAUCAAAUGCUUCACAGGCUUAUAUUUAGUUGCAUUGAAAGACCUUAAUCAUUAGUGAACUUUCGAAUUCUUUAAAUCCAUCUUUGCCCAAUAAAAGAACUUAAGGUUGCAAAAAGCCUUCUCGGCUAGGAAAUAUUGCUCACAGUAAAGUUAUAAAGAAACAAAGAAACAUGAGAAUCAACAAAUUAUGUUUUCCUACUGACUUUGUUCAACGGAUUUUAGUAUGGGGAAUAUGUGCAAUCUUGGGCCACUCUGUGCUGCUUCCUUUAUUGCCUUCUCGGCUAGGAGCUUUUUUGUUUGUUAGUUUUCCUACUGACUAUGUAGUUUUCAUUUUAUAUUUCUUAUUCCAUUCAUUGUGAGAUUUUGAAGUAGUGAAGGGCCUUUUUGUAAUUUAACUGGCUAGGUGUAUUCUGAGACCUAUUGUUACCCUUUUUUGUGGGUACUCUUUUUUCCAAGUUUGAUCUUUCUUGCUAGUUCUGUAAGCAUCAUGGGCAUGUUCCUUGCCAAACUGAAUUUUGUAUAAGUAUCUUCAAUGGCAAAAGAGGUUAACUGUUGAGCACAGCCUGAACCUGAAGACCUUGAUAAUAUUUAACCCUCGUCGGUUUCUGAAACUUCAGUAACAUGGAAACUGUAAUGUUAUUUAACUUCUUCUGGUUUUAUCUGUUGGACUGGUUUCAUUUAGCCUACUUUUUGCAUCUCCAUGGCCUUUAACCGCUUGUUACAGAAAGAAGUGAAGAUGUAAGAAAUGAACACUUUAAUAUUGAAAUACAAAUUUAAGUGCCUAAGAUAUGGUGUACAAGGAUUUAGCUUUUUAUCUCUCUUGGCAAGCUGAGGUGAAAAGAAUUUAAUUGUCAGCUUUAGUUUUUGAUAGUCCAAACUUCUGACAGUUAUACUGAUGGGAUCUUUUGAAUUCAUGCUUUACAAGUCUCAGUAUGAGGUACUAAAUGUAAAAGAAGUACAAUCAGUGUAUGGGUACUUAAGGAACUACGCACUUUGAAUUUGGCUAGUCUCACAAUUUUUUGGGUGGCUAGGGUUAUGGUGCCAUUUAAAUAUGUCCUUGCUGGGAUUUAACUUGAUUGCCUGUAUUAGGGGUUCCAUGACCUGUAGAAAUCAAGCACUUCCAUCAUUUAUAGCUGGUUUUCUUUGCAGAAACUGGAAAAAGUGCAAUUAGCGUUCGAAUCUGAGCAAAAGGCUUGUGAGGCUCUAAAAGAGAAGCAUAGAAUAGCUAUUUCAGAGCAAAGACACUGCUACUCUCUCUUGAAGGCUUUCCAGGUGAGGAGUUGAAGAAAACCUUUCUGUUCUUAUAUAUAUAUAUAUAUAUAUAUAUAUAUGGCAACCUUUAUGUUGUUUUCAAUGUUGAAGAAAGUACAAAGAAUUAAUUGUACACGCUGUUCAAGAAUAUGCUAUUUCUCUUUAAGAUAUAGCUUUUUAUUAACCAAAAACAGUUUCUGUACAGAUCUUUAAGAUAUAGCUGAAUAGGAGGAAAUGACAUAUUUCACAAGGAUAGCUAUCGGAAUAGAAAAACCUCUGUUUGUUGCAAGUUCCAGACACACAUGGGUUAAAGUUACAUGUUAUUGGUUUCCAUGACAAAGGCAGUCCAGAAAAGUGGGAUGUCUUAACAAAUAAGAAUUGAAUGAACGGAAAAAUUCUGUCUUGACACUUGAAAUAGACUUUAGUUUUUCAAAAUUUAAGAAUUGCUGGAAAUAAAAAAGGAAAAGUAUAAUCUCUAUCUUUUUCACUCUGUCCUGUUUCCUUUUAUUAACUGUUUACGAUCCUGUGAUUUUUUCUAUUUGGGAACCAGUUUAACUUCUAAAACCAAUCAUGGAUAACUAAUUUGUCACUUGUAGCUUGGCAUGUCAGCAUAAUGUAUUUCCUCCGACUUAAAAGUUUUUUUUUUGUAAGAAAAGUUUAGGUGGGUUCAGCUUCGGUCACCACCACGGAUCAGGGCAUUACCCUUGGAAUCAUAGGUUGCUUAUAGGAUUCGUACAGAUUGCCCACAAAUAUAGCCCUCGCAUCAGCAGCGAAAUUCAAACAUGCAACCUUUUAUGAUAAAGUGACUCGCCCUUACGAAUUAAGCUUGUGUUGGGAACUUAAAAGUUUGUUGUUAGCUGUAAUGUUGGAAUUUGGAUUGAUCACAGUGGUGCUUUAGUGUACUACAGCCUUGAACAGAAGUUACUUAUCAAUCAAGUUGUCCAAUUUUUAGGAGGAAUGUGCAAGGAAUGAGAGAUUGCGGCAAGCCCGGACUUUACAACCAUCCUCAUGAUGCUGCACAAUCCUCAAGUGUUAUCUACAUGGAUUACAUAAUCGUACUGGGUGUGAUGGUCAAGUUUUGGAUUUACCUGACAGCUUUGAUUAGACAGAAGAUUGCGCGUGCUGCAUCUACAUUUGAUAUGACCAUCAUCUCAACUUGUAUAUAUUCCUUGACUUUGUAUACCCUAUUCUGAUAAAUCUUGCAUGCUAGCAUACAAGAUUUCUGAAAAUCUCACUCUGAUAUAAAUGAUUGUUAUUGCUUGUUGUGUAGUCUUCAUCAGCCAAUGCAAUCCCUUGGAGUUUACCAAGUCGUAGAGUUAGAUUCAGCUUAUUUAUUUUUUCCCUGUCUUGUCAAUUCGAAAGGAUUUGUAUAUUUGAGGUUGAGCGUGGUGGGGUCGAUUGGACUUGCAUUGUUAUUUGUUAGAAAUAAUGGGGUAAAAAUUUGAUAUAAGCUUUUCGCUGUAGGCCAAAAUUAGAAGUUCUUUUACCGUCAUAUAGCUAGAGAAUAACAAAAAUAACAAAUACAAAAAAGUGCAGUAGCAUGAAUAAAAGAUUAUUUUUCCCACAAAUUUGUCUAAUAAUUAUUUCAUCAGAACAAAAAGAAAAGAAAAAAAAAAGAGUUGUGCAAAGGUAAAAACGAAAGAAAAAGAAAGAAAAAAAAUUUGAAAAUGGCGAGCUUUUAGUUUUUGGAGAUAUACAGCUACUUAGCAAGCUAUAUGAUGCAGUUUCAAUAACACAGUGUGGCAAUCCAAUGUUUUUUGGGUAAUACAUCUUCCAGCAGUCGAGAAUGUGCAGAAAAAUGAGAAAUUGAUACAACCUACCAAAUUGAUUUGAGUAUUAAGGUAAAACAGUUGUAUGCUUGUUUUACUUUAUUUUUCACACUAAUCCAAUGGAACAAAGAGUGUGUUUAACAAUUAUUUGCUACAAAAAUAUUUGCUUGUAUCAUAAUAAUAUUUUUCAACAUACUUUUAUUUUUUCAACUACUUUUUAUUUGAUAUACAUUAUAUCACAAAAAGUAUUACAGUAAUUAUUUUAAAUAAUUUCUUUUACAAACACAUUUGAAAACAUGUUCAAAUGUGUUUGGUUGUGUUGUUCUUAUAAAGAAAAGGGUAAAUAACACUAACUUUCUUUCUAAUUUUUUGAAGUGGCUAAAUCCCUACCCCUCCAUGCGAAAUCCACACCUAUGCGCUUCUUGGACAAAAAUGGCCUUAGCUUUUAAGUUUAUUUGAUGCUUUUUUUAAUAUAGUUUUAAGAAACAUAUAUUUACAUGGCAAAAAAGGAAAAAAAAAAUGUUUGCAUUGUAAUAUGGAAUAUAUUGAAAGCACGUUCAAAUGUGUUUGGUUGUGUUGUUCAUAUAAAGAAAAGGGUAAAUAACACUAACUUUCUUUCUAAUUUUUGGGAGUGCCUAAAUACACACCCCUCCAUACUAAAUCCACAUCCUAUGCACUAAUUGGACAAAAAAUGGCCUUAGCUUUUUAGUUUUAAGUUUAUUUGAUGCUUUUUUAAUAGUUUUAAGAAACAUAUAUUUGCAUCACAAAAAAGAGGAAUAACAAAUGUUUGCAUUGUAAUAGGGAAUAUUUUCAAACAUUUUAUAAAUGUGUGAGAAUAUUAAUUUAUAAUUUCAAAUUUAUUCUAGCUAUCAAAAAUUUUCAAUUACUAAUAAUGAUGUAAAUAGCAAUGUCUACAUAUUUCAAUUCCAUAACAUCAAAAUCUAAGCAAUUUUCAAGGUGGAAUAUGCCUUCAUAUUGACUGCAUACUAAUAUUUACCAUUUGGUUAUGUGUAAAUGUUAAAAAAAAAAAGGUUUAACAAAAGAAAGGUAGUAAAUCAUAUAUAAUAGGAAAGAGGAGCAAAAUUAAAGCAACUUUAGAGAAAGAUAAAUUUUGAAAUGAAACAAGCAAGAAAAAUGAAUUUGUAUAUAAAACUUACAUAAAGAUCAUGGUGUGAAUUUUUUGCUCUAGAAAAGAUAUUAUUAUAUAAACUUUUAAUUUGAUUUUUAAAAGCUAAGGGUAUCAAUGUCUAACAAAUGUAUAGGGUGUGGAUUUAGCACAGAGGAAUGUGGAUUUAACCCUUCUCUUUUUAAAAAAGUUAGGAAUCUCCUCUCUUAAUUUCAUAAUAGUAAAGAUCUCCCUUCCAUGUGUUCUUCAUCCAUAAUCGUCACUGAUAAAUGCAAGUGGACAAAUUUACCCUUGGUUUUAUUUUUCUCUUUGUUUCAUUUUCUAAAUUCCUUAGUUCUUCUUUAUUACUUUUUUUCUUUGGGCCUUUGGCUAUCUUUCCUAUUUUUCAGUUUCUUAAAACAUCCAUGCCUCUCAUUCUUUGUAGUACAUUGUAGAAGCUGACUUGCAUAAUAGUUGAUUGUUGUAUGGGAAAGGCAUCGCCAAACAUGAGACAUAGUAGACCAUGAUAGUUAGCAAGGCUAAAAUACGAUGAACUAAUACAAAAUUUUCCUCUAAUUAAUUGGAACAAUUGUUUGCUUAUAAUUAUUCUAGCAGAACUUUUCUACAACUGAUAUUAUCUAAGAGGAGGUGGCCUGGGUAAAUUUUGUGCAGCGCUUCUUACAUAAAUCUACAUGUAUUUGCUUAAACAUAAAUUUAUAUGUUUUGGUCUAAUUUCACUCAACACUCAAGAUAAAAUGCAACUGAUAAUUCAAAAUAUUGUUAAAGAUAAAAUGUAAGUAUUUCUUAUCGUGCUAUCCACAAAAAGGGCAUUUUAGGAAAUAUAUGGAGAUAUUUGCUGAAUGUGUAUCGACUCCAAUAGAAAGUUAACAAAAGGGGUGGUUUAUGAUUUUGUCUAACAAACUAGGGGAAGGUUUCUAUUAUUUUUAAAUUAAGUAGGGGUUUUUUAGUUUUUUAGCAGAAUUGGUGGGAGGUUGGUGUAAAUUGCCCUAAAGAAAACUAAGUGAUGUAACAACGAUAGUUUAAUCAAAUUUUUUUUAACAAGAAAACAUUGCAGUUGAUAUUGUGGUAGGCGGUUCAUGAUUGGUUUCUUUUUAGCUUCAUAUGAGGCUACUGCUACUUUAAUGUCUUCGGUUGGAUAUAUGCAAAUGGUUAUCUGUAGGAAAGGUCUGUUUCGAGUUGAAUUAAUUUUAUGUUCAAUUUACUUUAUUUUUCGUAGUUUUUGUGCAAUUAACUAUCCUUAAUUUAUCAUCAUCAUCCAAAGCUUCUGUUAUCUUUAAUAAUCUUGUUGAUGUAGACAAAACUGAUUAGAGGUGCAAUGAUAUUGACAUUUGCUUACAUCCAAAUUUCUAUUUAUUAUGGUGCCAAUUCUUGUGGAGCACGCUUCUACACAAUGAAUCCAUUUGAUUAUUUUUACCGACAAAACCGUGCUAGAAAAUGGCGCUAUCCAUAAAAAAAAACACUAAUAGUAAGAUCAGGUAGAACAAGUUGAUAAUCAAAAGAAAUUACUGAAUAAUUGAAUAAAAUUGAUAUGACUGCGAUGGAUAGUUCAAUACUGAAUAAACGAGCAUCGUCCCUAGAUGGAAGAAGGUUCUCUUUAAAAAGUGAUUUUGUACCAUCCGUUAGAGUUAAAAAAAAUUCCUAAAGCGUUAUCUCUAGAGGCUAGGCUUGGUACUCCCUUCUUAUUUUUUUUUUCUCUUCAUGAGCUGACUUCGCUCAUAUCAAGUUCUUGUUUGAUCUGCUGCUGUUAGAGCACCACCAUACUCAUCUGUUUAGGGUUAAUGCUCUCAAUGAUGAAUUAUAUACAUAAAUAUAUGUAUGAUUAAAAAAUAAUGAAGAAGAAGAAAAUACCACAUUUUGUACCUUUUGAACAUAUAACACGAUUAGGAGAUGAUUGGCUAGACGGCGUGUUUGGAGUUUUUCAAAGUGUUAUAUCUUGCCAUGUAAAGAGAAAGGCAUUACCUCCAAGCCUCUACCAUAGGAUUCAACAAUGCUGAGGAAAAUAUUUAGAGAUCCAUACAUGAUUUAGCAUAUGUUAUGUGUCCCUUGAUGAUGACUGCCAUGGUUAUCUGUUGUUAAUUGACAAUAUAUAUUUAGUUUACUCUAUCUUCAAUUUUGUUCUCCAAUUAAGUGUGCUUCUUCAUAACCAUCCAAAACUUCUUUGUAUCAUCAUCUUUAAUAGUUCCUUGAUGUAGACUAUUACAGAUUGGUGGUGCAAUGUAUUGACAUUUGUUUGCAUCCCUUCAAUCUUUAUUAGCUAAAAUCAUGUGGAGCAUGCUGGUACAAUAUUAAAAAUACAAAAAACCCAAAAUAAUAUAGUAUAAAAUCAAAAAAAAAAAAAAAAAGAUUUCACGCAAUGAUAGAUUGGAUGCAACAUAAAAGGUUGGUGUCUUCAUUAGCCAUUGUCGUUAUUUAUGGAUUCUUGCAGCCAAUGUUAUGAAAACAGAUUGGCAACUUUGAAUAGUUGGGCAGCGAAUCGCUCAUGGCACCAUACGAUUUCAUAUUAGACCCAGAAGUUGAAAGGAUUGAACCAACUUCCAGUAUUUUCUUUAAUGGUCAUGUAUUAUCCAUAUCAUUUAACAUCAAAAUAAAUAAAAAAAAAAUGAUCUGGAACUACAAUUUGGAAGUUCAAUAGGUUCACUAUUUAAAAAAUAAUCAUGAAAAUUUUUUGUUUCGUUAUCAAUGUGUUAAGGGUUUUUAGAGACAUUACUCAAAUAGACAUGAAAUUUUUGGUGUCAUUAUCAAACCCUGUCCUUUCUCGUAUUGGCUUGAAAAUCUUGGAGUAUCUAAUAAAUCAACCAAAAGAAGAAGAAAAAGAGUUAGAGUUUGUGAAUUGAACUUUACAGAUUAAUUUAACUUGUUUUAAGCUAGUUUGAUUUGUGAUGGAGAGUUCCUUUCGCUAUUGUCAAAUUUUUCCCUUGCCCUCGUUUUGCGAUUUCAAACUUUAUUCUAGCCUUUGGUACUAAAGAAAAUUGCCAAACUCUUUAAGUAACUUUCACUUCAGAAACAAAAAAAAAAAAAAAAAACCUUUGGACCCUUAAAACCUAGAUAUGUUCCCACGUUAGUCCUUAAAUUUUAAAUAAUGUAUCCUAUAAAGUAUCAAAUUUAUCUCACUUUAAAACAUUUAUUAGUAGAAUUGUUAAAAAUAAUGUAAUAUUAGGCAAGUGACACUUGACGUAGAAUAAAACUAUUCCACUAGUUUUGAAAAUUGUGUAAAUGUUCGAUUGAAGUAGGGCAAAUUUGAAACUCUAUUAGAGGUAAAGAGUCCAAGAAUGAACUUUAAGAACUAAAGUGGGAGGUGUCUAUAGUUUAAGAGACUAAAAUGUAAUUUAGCCAAACUAUUUGGCAGGCCGUCGUAUUGAUGCGUAAAGAGUCUUCUUUGAUGCGUAAAAUGGAGUUUAGCCAAACUCUGACAAAAAAGUCUACUACCUUUUGCCCAAAACAAAAAAAAAAAGUCUCCUUUGAUGCGUAGCCUAUUAGUAGUUCUUAAAACUACGCCAAGUUUCUCUAUGCCCAAAUUAUUUCUCUGACCUGAUUAACUCUGCACGAUUAAUCAUAAGGGCUUUCUUUUGUUUUAAACUAAAAAAGAUAACAAUAAUAGUAAUUCAAUUCCAUCCAAAGAUGUGUUCAAAUUAACUAGUGGCCGUAUUACCUACAAAUAAUAAGAAAGCCACAAGAAAGGAAAAUGCAAAAUGAUUUUGGUGAAACUCGAACUUGACCUUUUUUCACAUCAAGAUAAUAAACCAUUGGGUCGGUACAAGGAAGAGCUUUUAGAGUCUUUCCCGUUAUCAGUUUCAGGAUAUAAAUUCUGUACGUGACAAUUGAAAAUAAGAAGGGUGUGAGGACAAAACAAAAAAAAAAAAAGUCAGGACAAUAGAAAAUUGACAAAUUAGUACUUAAAUUUAGCUGACAAUACGUCUUUUCUCUCAUAUACACCAGGUGAAUUAACAGUCUGAGCUAUGUAUGGGGAGAGGAUACACUGUGGUUUCCACUUCCUGUAUGUUAAAACUGUUUUCUGAUAUAUCCAGAGACUUGUAUCAAGAAUUGUGGUUUACACUAAUUACACAAUUUAACCAUAAGAAUACAUGUCAUACUUUUCAUCUUCGAGGUCCAAAACAGCUGCCUAAUGCAAACUCCAAUAUUCUGGUCUCCUAAUGCCGACAAAAGACACUAAGAAAAUAGGCAAAUUUGUUUGUUUUGGACGUAUUAUGCAUGAUUAGACAUGAGUGAAAUUCGACUUAAAAGUACCUUUUUAGUUAUUAAAUUCAAGCUAAUGUGUACUCAAUCCACAUGCAGCAGCACCGGAGAGCUAGCUUUGGGAAUGGGAAGAGAUUCUCCAACGAUGAAUUAGUAGCUGGCAUAUAUUCUCUAGAGUCUAGAUUAAAUAAGUGUUUUGUUUUUUAAUAACUUCAAUGGUGUAUUUAAUUUUUCGAAAAUUGUUGUGUUCUUGGUAGCAUAUUUUACUUGCUCUAUUUUUGUGCUGAAGUUCAUGAUUAUGAUUCUUUUGAAAAGAGGACAAGAUUGGUUCUUUGAAAAAAUGUAGAAAAGGCAGUGAAAUGGGCAAAUUAUGUAGAACUGGUAUGGUGAAUUGUUUAAGCUUUUUAUUGAAAAAGAAUUGAAGUUAUUGAGUAGACCAUGCUAAGUUCAUAGAUACUGUAAGUUAUUGAGUAGACCAUAAUCUGAAUUGCUUUACAAGAUAAAUGCUUUAAUAUUGAUUACAGAAAAUGCAUGCUAGACUAUACCUGUUUACUAGUAGUGGCAGAACGACAUGGUGUUGAGGGUGAGCAAUUAAUUGCCCCACCUUAACUUUUAAAAAUUUAGAGAAUAGUCUUGAAACUUUAUAAAAUUUUUAAUUUUUACUAAUACUUGCUUCCUCUUAAUUUUAAAAAACACUCUUUUCUUCUAACACUAUCCUCUAUAUUAUGAGAAGUUCUCAUUUGCCUCAGAUUACCUCCCUAUGCAAUCUAUUUAUUUUAGAUAUCUCUUCUAUGGUACAAAUGUUCAAAAGUUAUUAAAUCACAAAAUUGAUUAUUACUUAAAUAGGAAAUUAUUUCAAUACUUUUACACUACACAAAAAAAAAAAACUCAUAAUAAAAAUAUAAUCUUUAUUCAAUUUUUUUUCAUACUAGUGACAGCAAUUUGUGUGUACAAUAUUGCCUCCACUGGUUAUAGGUCCUGACUCCGCCACUGUUUACUAGGAUCGUCUAGCAUGGCAGAAAGUAUCAGGAGUUCACUAGGUUUUUUACCAAACGAAUAAAACAGAUUACAUAUGUUUCAGGAUUGGGCAUAUGAUGUCAUUUUAUUCUGAUCACAGAAAGUGCAUCCUCCAUAUGCUUGGCCCUGAUUUGAAGAAAUUCCUUCACUGUUAAAGAACUAUAAAUGGGACAUUCAGACUUAGCAAAUGGUGCAACCUGGGAAUCAGUUGGAGGAAAGCAGAAGUAGGCAACAGAAAUCCUGUGCCUAAUCUGGUUGACAAAAACACGAUGCUGAAUGCUAGGGAACUUGCCAUUAGACAAUAUAUCCAUAAGAUUACCAAGAUUGACCACAAGAGCUCCUUCAAUGGGUGAAACUGUCACCCAUCCGAUUCCGUCACGAAAAAUCUGCAAACCCUCAUGACUUUGAUGAAGAACGGUCAUGAGCAUUGAAUCUGUGUGAGGGGCUAAACCAAUGGUACUUUUGGGAUCUGGGCAGGCUGGAAAGGAAUUGAGUUGCAAUGCAUCUUGGGACAUUGAUAGUUUCCAGUUCAGUUCAUCUUCAGAGACUUCUAGCCACUUCAACAUUAGGAGCAAGAGUUGGUGUGCCAAGGACUUCAUCAUCUUUUGAUAAUUUUCCAUCACAUCACUAAAUGUAUACAUAAGCAGGAAAUAAUGAUUAAUUAAAACGCAAUCAUUUUCGCUUACACAGUAAUCUAAUAGUACUAUAGUUGAAUUAAAUUUCAUUUUGCAUACUUGCAGUUUAGUAUUUAAACUACUUAAAGCGUUCCCUAACUCUUAAACUUAAUCAUUUUAUCCAAAACUAUGCCCCCAAACAAAAAAAAAAAAAAAGUGCAACUUAAAGUCAGCAAGCGUGGGGAUGCAGUUUUAAUGCGCUUAGAAGGGAAAAGAGUUAAGACAAGGGGAUUAGGAAUUUUUUUUUUUAUUCAUCUUUUGAGUUGAUUUUGAUAAAAACGGAGAUGGAUGAAAAAUCAAGGGAAAUAAUGUAUUGAACCUCAAAAAAAAAAUCAAUUGAAAGGAAUGAAAUAAAUUCCAGUACAACCUUAAUUUUCAUUUAAGCAGGCAGUACAAAUUUGUCAGUUUGUCAAGGUGCAUGAAAGUGCAUGGACAAUUACCAAAUACUACCAAAUAAACGGACUUACCAAAAAGUUUUGUGGUCAUGGGGCCAAAGUACACUAGCGUGCUCAACAGGAGAACCUGCAAUAGUGAACCCUUCAUGCCACAAAUAUUUGGUCAAAAACUGUGCCAUCCGGGCAGCACCGUAGCCGGUGGCUCCGCCGGCCGAUCGUAAGACCUUCAGCUUUUGCUUGGUUGGAAGAGAAAAGAGUCUUCUAGCCUGGAACUCAACAUCAUGAAUAAGGCUGGAGGGAAUACCAUGGUUGGUGAGUUGAAAAACUCCCCAUGUUUCACAUGCGUGGCCAAUGAGUUCCACUACAUUGGGAGCCAUGAGAUCAAUGACAGGGAUCCAUGAUUUUGAUUUUUCAUUAUCAUCAGAGGGGAGAAUAUGAUCAGAUAAUGGAAAAUUUUCUGUUUCUGGCCAUAUAUGUGAUUCUGGAACCACUUUUGUGGACUCAAAAUCCAGAGGAAUAACAUGUUUGAGACGCAUAGGAACAUCUUUGUACGCUUCUGAAAGUGUACCCAUGAUAGCUACUAUGCUACUAGCUAGACAGCCAGGCUUGGAAUAUCAAUUUUAGCAAAGUCAAGAUACCAUAUAUAUAAAUAUAGGGCAGCGAUGCAGGAAAUAAAAGAAUAAAAAAUAAAUUAAAGGAAAAAGAUACCACAUAUAUAACAUUAACAAUAAGGUGAGCUAGUGAACAUUAUAAAGUUGUAAUCACAAGGCUUGAUAUCCUCUGUCCAACUUGUCCAAGUAAUUUGUUUAAUAGGAAACCAUAUCAUCUACUUUACAAAAUAAUUGAUGACGUGUUUAACUUUGGUUUUUGUCAACAUACUAUUAUACUUUUUCUUUUUUGUAGGGAUAAGUAAGGCUUUUACAUAUCUCUUGAUGACUUGAACCAAUAACGUGUCUAACUUAGGUUUUGACCAACAUACUAUCAUAUUAGUGUUUUUAAAAAUAUUUUUAAAGAAAUGAUUAGAAUAUUCUAAUAACUUUCUUAAUGACUCGAACACGUGACUUAUAGUUAUAGAUAAAGUAUUUUACAACCUGAGUCAGUAUUUUAUUGUCACAUACUAUUCUAAUAUCUGUCAUGGCCUCAGUUAAUUGAAUUUAUGGAAGUAUCGUUAAUAGUUGCACCACAAAAUUAGGAUGUGAGAAAGGGUGACUUUUCUGAGGUGUUGGUCUUUUGAAAAAUUAAAGUGAAAUACAAAAACUAUUAUAGGAUACAAUGAUUGUGAAUCACAUAGGUGAAAAUUAAGUUUAACAAUGACUUAGAAAAUCUAGGUAAUUGAUUUCGUUCUCUUCAUUUGCCUAAUAAAAAAGAGUAGAAUUCCGAGAAAAUAUUGUCUAAAAUCUUUGGUAGAUUAUGAGAAAAUUCGGGUAAUUAAUUUAGAGUAAAUUUUAUAUAUACUAUCAUAGUUAGAUGGAUAACACAUGAUCAAAUUUUAAAUUCAAAUUCAAAUUUUACACAUGUGUUAUAUCUAAUGAUGAUAGUGCAUACACUGACAGUGUAUAUAAAAUUAAUCCAGUAGAACCGUAAAGGGCAAUUGUAUAAUGUCUAUUUAAUUAACAUAAAAAAGAAAAGUUGGUGGUCAUACUCUUCUACGUACCAAGUUAAUUACAGGAGCAAAGACAGUGCAGAAAUGAAGCAUUUGAUCAAUAAUUUGCUUUAAGAAAUAAAGAUAUUUGAUUAAUAAUUAUCUUAAAAAACACGUGGCCUUGGGUGGCUGUAUUGGACUUAUAGUUGUCUUUUAGUGUGAAACUGACAUGGGAAUUUCAUUUUUUUUAACAGUAUAAUGGGUGGGUUGAAGUGGACAAAAUUGAAGAACGGACAAAACAUGAAGAAAAGGAUGUAGAAGAGAAUAUAUGCCAGCUACUAUCAUAUUAGUGUUUUUAAAAAUAUUUGUCCUUGGGGUUGAGAGGUUGUUGGGACGGAGGGGGACACAGAAGGAAUGACAGGUAAAGUCAUAGAACACCAUUCGGAUGUGGUGGAGGAGGUGACCCGAGGGAGGGUAAGAUUAGAGUUGGCAAAGGGAAACACAGACUCAACAAAACGGACAUGACGAGAGGUGUACAAUCGGUUGGAGGAUAUAUCAAGACAGAGAUAAGCACUUUGAGUAGAGGAACAUCCAACCAAGAGACAAGGAGUUGAUUUGGGUUCAAGUUUGUGAGAGGUGUAAGGACGGAGCCAGGGAUAGCAGAGGCAGCCAAAACUUCGAAGUUUAUUGUAGUUAGGGACAGUGCCAAAAAGUUUAAGGAAUGGAGACUCAUUGUUGAGAGUAGGUGUCGAGAGACGAUUUAUAAGAUAUACGGCUGUGGAAAAGGCAAAGGACCAAUAGGCCAGAGGCAUAGAUGCGUGAGAAAGGAGAGAAAGUCCAGUUUCAACAAUAUGACGAUGGCGACGUUCAGAAUAGCCAUUGUGUUCAGGAGUAUGAGGAGGAGAGGUGAGAUGAGAGAUGCCAUUGAUUGUUAGGAAGGAAGAGAGGGCCUGAUAUUCGCCACCAUUAUCAGAGUAAAGCGUUUUGAUUUCACAGUUGAAGAAUUUUUCAACCAAGGCCUUGAAGGAAAUGAAAACAUUACGAGCAUCAGAUUUGCGUUUCAGCGGAUACAGCCACAUAUAUUUUGUGAAAUGAUCAACAAAGAGAAUAUAGUAUUUAAAGUUGUCAAUGGAGUACACAGGUGAAGUCCAAACAUCCGUGAAGACAAUUUCAAGUGGAGAAGAAGUGAACAAGGUAGACACAGAGAAAGGUAAUUUGUGACUCUUAUUACAAUGACAAGAAUUGCAAUGAGAGUUGAGAGAGGAAGAAUUUGAGACAUCCAGAUUGAAUGAUGAGACCAUGUGUUUGAGUGUCGGUAGUGAUGGGUGACCAAGUCGGUGAUGCCAGGCAGGGUAUGUGGUCUUUGUUGUGGAGAAAGCAAGCAAUGGUGAUGAAGCCGAGGAGAUGGGCCACUCAUAGACACCAUUUUUAGUUUGGCCUUGGAAGAGCAUGGCUUUCGAUUGAAGGUCCUUCACAAAGAAAGAUGAUGGUAAGAAUUCAAUAGAGGCAUUAUUUGAUUUGCAGAACUGAGAAAUGGAAAUUAAAUUACGUUUCAUGGUUGGAGCACAAAGGACAUUAGAAAGAGUGAAAGAGUGAGAAGAAGUAGGCAGAGAAGUUGAACCCGUGUGUGUGAUAGGAAUGCCAGAGCCAUCUCCAAUCAUGAUUUCAUCUGGACCAGUAUAGGGGUUGUGAAAGGAGAGGUUUUGAAGGUCAGUUGUAAUGUGAUGCGUAGCACCACUGUCCAAUAGCCAAGGAUCAUGUGAUGGGGAGUUUGAGGUAGCAACAUGAGCUUGAGCUUGCCAAGGAGGGGGUGCACGAAGUGGCGGUGAACUGACAGCGCGUGAUGGUGGUGAAGCAUGAGGAAAUUGUUGGCGGAAGAGAGUGCACUGAGGGACCACAUGACCUUGACCACGGCACCACUGGCAUUUGCCCAGAAAUGGACGCAUUGGUCGGUUGUAGUGGCUGGGAGCGGACUGCAAGGUUGGAGGACGAGCAGGCCAUGGUGGGUGAUUGCCCGGUGACCGCUGAUUUGAGCGUUGUGUGUGUGUGAGGUGGGCAGAGGCUGGAAAACCUGGUGAGGAAUUGCGCAAGGACAGCUCUUUGUUGAUGAGUUUUUCAUGGAGUUCAUCAAAGGUGAUGACCGUGUCGCGGCUGUUGACUGCAUCAAUGACAGAUUGGAAUGUGUCAUCAAGGCCGUCCAAGACUUUCUCAAUUAAGUCUUCAUGAUCAAGUGGUUUUCCAAGGGUGGCAAGUUCAUCAGCUUUGGUCUUGAUGGCUUGCAUGUAAUCGGUAACAGAUUGUGAUCCUUUGGAGAUGUUCUUCAGGUUGUCCUUGAUUUGUUUGAUAUGUCCACGAGAGGGACGAGCAUAGGUGUUGGCGAGGGCUUUCCAAGCAUCAUGAGAUGUUUUUGACUGAGCAAUGAGCGGAACAAGGUUGGGUGACAUCGUGCCCACCAGCGCGCCAAACAAAAGCUUGUCUUGUCUCAGCCAUGUCUGAUAUGCCGGAUUGGGGGAAGCUGCAUUGUUGGCAGUGAUGGUGGCAGGAGGAGACGGCUGCGAACCGUCAAUGAAUUUGUGCAGGUCAUAACCUAUGAGAAUGGCUUCGAUCUGAGUUUUCCAAGAGAGAUAAUUUGUGGAGGUAAGUUUGAUGGAGUUGUGGAUGGUGAUCAAGGUUAGAGGACUGUUUGGGUCAUGAGUAUUUGGGAGAACAACCUGAGUAUUUCCAGUUGCCAUGGAUGUUGCAGAUCAGAACCUAAUCUCGUAUGAGAUAGGCUCUGAUACCAUGUAGAAGAGAGGUGAGGAAGAAGAGAGGCUUGCAUAUAAUGUUUUCCCCUACCUUUCCUAGCGAUUGCCUUAGUAUUUAAACACAAAAUACAGCCUAGAGGAUGUGUUCUGUUACAACAGAUAUACCUAUCGGAGACUAAUUCUAAGCAGAACUAACUACCAGAAAUCUAGGAGACAGAGCAUCGGUUAUGUUAUCUUUUCAAAGGAUUGGAUAUUAAGAGAUAAUCUUAAAUUAUGUAGGCCACUAGACUGGAAUAAUACAAGGUUAAAGGAAAUAUGAUAUUCCAUCAGCAUCAAAUUUUUUUUAUUAGACUUCCCUUUUUUUUUGGAAGAAGUUGUUUUUCAGUUUUGAAUGUGUUUUCCAAAUAUUCAAUUUUCCAGACUACUUUCAUUUGUUAAUCAUCUUUCACCACAGGUUUAAGAGUACAUGAAGUUGUAUUUUUGAAUAUAUUAUCUUUCUUUAGACUAAUUUUAUCUUCUAGAGUUUUAGAAAAAGAAUAAUUGGCAAAACUCUUCUUUUUCAUUUGGAGGAUUUGGUGAAAAACUUUUAGUUGUGGUUUAUAAUCUGAAAGAGCUCAUAUUGAAUGUUGUGCUGAAUUCAGAUAAGAUACUAACAUUUUAGAAUCAAAUUCUUCAUUUAAGUUUCAUAUUUACUAAUUAAUGCAACAAUUUAGGCUAAGAAUAUCAUUUUGCAUUCAGCAACACAAUUAAAUAUUGUAAGACAAAUUUUGAAAAUUCAAAUGUUUAUUUAUAUAGAUGAACUAUUGUUUCAAUUAACUAUUCAAAAGUAGUUUGAGAAUGGAAAAAAUGAUAUACUAUAUGUAAAAAUUAAAAUGAGCCAAAUUUUGAAAACGAUAUGUAAUAUAAAUAUGAAUCAAAAUGAGAAUUAGAUAGGAGCACUAAACAAAAUUUUGUAAACAUUUAAUAUAAAGUAAAGGUAAUUAACCAAAUUAAUGAUGGCCGAGGAGGCCUUGGUCUAGAUGUUGAGGUUGAUACUUUAGAAUUUAGAGAUUUUCGCUUUUAAUCUCCCUUCCCUCUCUCGACUUCUUAAUUUCCAUCCUCCCUUGCUAUAAAAAAAUAAAAAUACAAAUUAACGGUGAGCUAAACAUAAUAAAAAUUGAAUCUAAAAUUAAUUUUGAGACCAAUAUAUAGUCUAAUAGACCGAUGCAUAUAUUGGAGCAAGAGCAAUAAUUAAAUUAAAAAAGAAAUAAGUGUCAUAAGGCGUGAUUAUCCAAAUUUUAGUAGUAGUAACUUUUAACAUAUAAUCAAGACAAAUUAUCAUAAUAUAAAACAUAUAUGGAAAGAAACACACACACACACACACACACACACACACACAUAUAUAUAAGAAAACUAUAAAUUGAUUAAUAAAAAGAUUUUGUAAGACAUAAUUACUACGAAUGUAUAUAAAGCAGAACUAAUAAAUUGAUUGAAGGUCACUAUAAAUAAGAAAGUGUAAAAGGAAGGGAAUUUGCUGUUAUAAAAAAAAUAGAAGCAGAAUAAAAAAUAAAAAUAGAAACUCAAAAGAUGUCCACAUGGUGAAAAGAUUGAUAGAUUGUCAAUUUGGCAUUAGGCUAGAAUAGCUAACUCAGUAACCUACUAAUAUUAAAACUGAAUAUUGUUAUAUAUAUAUAUAUAUAUAUAUAUAUAUAUAUAUAUAUAUGAUACAGAUAUUUUAGUACAGCUAAACACAUAUGCACUAGCAGUGCGAUUCAAAACCUUUUCUUUUAAUUAAUUUUUCCUUCCUAAGAUAGUUAAUACAACUAGCUAGUAAUAGUACUAGUAUUUUUCUUCAUGUUAUCCAGCAAAAUUAGUAACCCUUUUUGGUUUAAUUCUCCAUGUACAUUAUAGCGUCCAAGUAUAUAACUGAAACAUUCUUUUCCCCACGGAGAAAUAAAAUUGUUAUAAUAACAUUUUGCGUUUUUAUGAGUGUCUUAAAUCUCAGCAAACACAACAAAUUGUGUGUACAUGAUCAAAUUUCAUUCCAUUCAUCCUUAAAGAUCACAUUUUGUCCUAUGGAAUCAGACAUUACAACAUGAUUUGCUGGUAGAAAUUUGUCCGCUAGAUAAACUUUUCCAACAUCAACUUUUCCUAUUUUGUUCUGUGAUGAUACGACAAAGAGCAAUUCCAAAUUAUAAGUUGAUCCGAUCCAUAAGGGAACUAAAUUUUGUAAAGGAAUGAGACCAUUCGGCCAAAGAAUGAGGAGCAAUGAUGAAAGAAGAUGAGGAAACAACAAGAAAUUUGCUAAUAUCGUAGCCAAUAAUCUGAUUUAGGGAUUAAUUAAACUUCAAUUUUGGAGCAAGUAUUAUUGGCUUAUGUCUGCAUUAUCGUAUUUGCCAUAGUAUUUGAAUAUACAAUCACAUAAUAUUAUUGGUUUGUCAAUUCCAAUAAAAAAAAUCUCUUUCUAAAAUACUUAAACCCUUAAGAUACUCUUGGUUUGACUCAAUUUGUUCUUUCCUAUUCAUGAUCUUUCGUUCUUGACUCUUUAUGUAGUUCUAUUGCCAUAAACUUAAUGAGUCUGAAUUCGUUAACCAACCGUUAUAGACCAUCUUGAGCAAACUUUAGUUUCUAAGAAGGAAGACCAUCCUUCUACUCGUACUUAGUGUGUUUGGAUAGUAGAUUAUUUGGGAUAAUUUUGUGAAAAAAAAUACUAUUGUACUUUUUUUAAUAUGAUAUAUGUGAGAUAAAAAGAUAGUUGAAAAAUGUGUUUAGAUAGAGUUUGAUUUUCUAUGAUCUAUAUUUAAAUCUAGAUCCAAAGCAGAUCAUACUCAGACCUAUGCAUCAAUAUAAUAUAUAUAUAUAUAUUAGUAAACUUUUAAAAUAAUCUAAUAUAUAUAUAUAAACUUUUGGGGAAAAGGAGAAAAACUAAAAGCAGACAAAUGAAAGAUUUAAUGUAAAUGGAGAUAAAAUUUUGAAUAAAAAAAAUAGAAGUAGUUGAUAAUAGUUCUCUCUUUGAAUUUAUAAUAUUGCAUUGAACUUCUUGAACUUUAAUUUUAUUAUUUGAAAAAAUUAUAUGGUAUUUAUGUUAUUUUUGAACUUAAUAUAUUUUUAAAAUAUUUUUAUUUUAGUUUUUCACUUUAUAAAAAAAAAUAUCUACGAAUACCCAAAAUCGUAAGGGUCCAGAUCUGGGUUUACUUUUUCAGAUCCAUUAAGAUUUGGGUGUGAAUCUGGAUCUAGGUCUAACUAAAUUUAAUGAUUUUGGAACUUGAUCAAAGGGAUCCAAUCCAAAUCCUACCCAUUGACAUGCCUAAUUUACACUAACCGCUAAUAACUUUGGAUAUAUAUUAAGGACCAAAAGAUGUUACCUAUAUUUGUGAAACAACAGUGCCAUAAAUUUGGAAAUGCGAAGGGUUAUCUUUGCAAUUUCUCCUUAAUUUUAUGCAGUUCUCUCUAAAAAUUGACGAAAUGACCACUUGGAAAGGAGUAUAAAAUUACCUGAUCAUGGCUUUACAGUUUAUUGAUUUGAAGAAUACAUGAUUUCAUGUAGAGAUAAAAUGCAACUCCAAGAAAUAUCAGUGGGAAAGACGGAAGGGGAAGGAGUUGAUUACAUUACUGGAAUGUCAUUUUAUCCUUUGUUUGGGUGCUUGCCCCUUCUACAACUAACAAUCCAAGUCACAAGUUAGGCAGUCCUUAAGGGGAAAGGUAAGGGAAAUACAGCUCAGAAUGUUUUUGAAAGCUUUAUUUGAUGUAUCUUUUUGUUUUUCUUUUUGGGACGAGAUUGGACCCUGAUGUAAUCCAUAAGAGGCAACGGCUUCCAUUUCUGGAAACAUCACAUGAUAAUUAGUCAAUUUAUAAUCGAUAGAUUGGCAUAUAGCCCAGAAAUCUUGAAGAUUUACAUUCUGCUCAAGUAAAAUAACAUUGUAAUGCAAAAGUGGAUGGCAAGCAGUUCAAAGUCAAUGAACAAAAUACAGCCUUAUCCCUGUUGCAGGUGGUGGUAGCACAUCACAACAACCCACACUGAAAUAAAAAUGCUGGGCUUGAAACAAACAACUUUUGCUGGUAAAUUCUUUGAGACACAAAAAACCAAUAACUGUUUUCCUGUUUGGUUAUGAAUCAUAAUCAUAUCAGUCUAAUGCAAAGCAUAUUCUUUGCAACUGCCAAAGAUCUUACUCUAGAAGUUUAGGUUUGAUGAAUCAAGGACCCCAGAUGCUUGUUAUUUGGCAUUGUCGUUAAUCCCUAGCACUAUGGUGGGUGGACUCAAAAGCAGCAGCAAUCAGAUGAAACAAUCAAUUAUAAGAAACAUGAAGCUUAAUUAGACAAAUUCCUAAUUUAAAUUUACAAAAUUAUGUUGGAAUUAAGUUGAAGGCGAGCAAUUCUUUGUACUAAUACAGCACUCAAGAAUAACUUAUGCUUGCGAGUGCAUGGAGAAUUUGCCUUGCAAAAGAUGAUAACUGAUGGUCAAUUGGACUCCUUAAUGAAGUCUCUGCAGAUGACAGUUGCUUGUAAAUACCUCGUAUGAAAAUGUUGAAAAAUUGAGGCCAAGUGCAGUAAAAUUGCAGAAGAACGGAGAGAUUGAUUUCAUCCUUGAAGAAGAACUAAACUAGUGAGGCCAAGGCAAACGCAAAUCCACAUCAUACUUCAUGUUUUUCUUCAGCACAAACAUCAGCUGCAUGAUUUGGAGCUUUUGCAUCCUUUUUCAGCAUUUCCUCCCGCUGAGUACCUGAACAAGAUGUCCCAUAUAUCAGAGGGAUUCUGAAAAAACAGAAGCAUUUUAAGAGCGUCAACAUGAAGAAAUUAAGAAAAGGACUUUUUUUUUUAAUAUACAGAAAGAAAGUUUGUGCCAUAGAAAGGUCUUUGUACUGCCCCAUAGAGCUAAAGAUAAGUCAGCUAGCCCAUUUGAUAAAACAAUCCCAAGGAAGAACACCCCAUGAGAGUUACUCUGCCAAAAUACACAUCUUACUCAAUGCCCUUUAUGAAGACUUCACAUUGGUUAUUAGAAAACAACUGAUACACAAGAUGCUAAAAUGGAAGGGGAUGAUAAUUCUCACCAGAGCUUAAUUCAUGAGAGGAGUUCACCCGGACUGACGAUUUCCCAUGCACUUCCGGCUGUAAAACUAAGCUACCUGUCAUGCCUGGGUUGCUUUUACCACUUGGUGUGCAAUUUUCUCCCGUGAAUGGCCUUGAAGUGGUCUUUGGCAUGAAGGUUGUUGACCAAGAUCCCCCACUGGAUCCCGCUAAGGCCAUUAUAACAUCUGCCUGAUAUAGAUUUUGAUGUCAGGGUUCUCAACAGCAUCAACUUCAUAUAUAUACCAAGUGCAAGCAAGAGAAUGCAUUCUAUAACCAAAAGUUUUACUACAAAGCACAUAUAAUGGCCAAAAAAAACCCACAGACAUCUAAGUUCCUACACAUGCUACUUUCAGUGGAUCCCCGUAAUCAAGAACCAGAAAUUAAAAAAUUGAACUUUUUCACGGAUGCGUUACCAUCUAAAAUGUUCCAUCCUUUAUUGGGAGGAAAGGUUUUAAAUGAAAAGCAAAAAGUAAAGGAAGUCAAAGUCUAGGUUCAUAAGGCUGUCUAAUACGGGCCACUAUUUCUUGGGAAGAAGGCAUAAAACUUCUAUAAUAGGAUCAAAAGUUUAUUUGCACAUCAGAUGCACCUAAUUUAUUGAUAAACGCAAAAAUCAAGAAAUGAGGAUGCUCUGACCCUCCAAAAGGACAAUGGAACCUUCCAAAUGUUUUUCUGUACCUUUCUCUGCAGAAGUGCACCACAAUGCACAAGCAUAAAAAAGAGGAAGAAAGCCAUUUCAGAUGAAAACAAGACAUCUUCUCACCCACUUUCCAUGUUAAAUAUGUUUGAAAAGCAGGGCUACCCUCUGACUCUCAUCACCCCCCGGUUUUCCUUUCUUUAACGAUGACUUAUCUGCAAAAGAAAGAGGGAGCACUUCUUUCCCUUCUUUUUUCAAAGAAAAAAGGCAGUAAAAGGAGAUUAUACUCUCAGAUGAGACUAAGCAGCCACUGAUCAUUCCGACACGCCCUUGACCUAUCUUGAUUAAGACCAAAAACCUAUCUAAAGUGGAGCAUUGUUUAAGCUGUCAAACAAAUGUGGGCCAUUAGCUAAUCUGUUUUUUUCUAUUUUGUUUUCUUUUUUGAUACAGAAGCACCACUACAAGCAACAAACAAAUGCAGAUAAGAUAAUUUAUUUUUUCUAUAUUGCAUACUUGAUAUAGCACUGUGUUCAUAAGGAGUGACAUUAAUUAUAGAUGAGAAAACCAAACUAUAAGGAGGCUGGAUCUUUUGAUUAAAAAAAAAAAAGAAAAUCAAACUGUAGAUUUGAGAUGGAAAUAACCUUCCAAGAGCUACAUGUUACAAAGACAGAUACAUACAAAGGUUUGGAAAGAACAAAGACAUAAGGUUGGUAUUGUUUUUAAAUAAUUACAGUACGUAGAGACUGCACUGUGUAAGAUAUGAAAAUUAAACUGGAAAGGAGUUUAGAUGUUUAUGCCUCUCACUCACCAGAUCAUGCUGUGGCACUAAAACAUUAAAUAGUCACUAUAAUAACUUAAUCCAAUCAUGGAAAAGGGUGUUGUAGAAUCAUCCAACGCCCAUUCAAUUUCGUAAGAGGUUACUUAAGUUCCUAAAAGGGAGAAGGCAGUAAACUUCUGCAUGAAAGAUCACAUACAUACAAAAGAGCAUUUGGAGGCAGAGGAAAUAACAUGGUUCAGCAAAGGUUUGUCUCCAUCCACAAAAAUAAGGUUGCUAACUCCACUAUUGACAUGUGCAAUUCUAAUCCUAUCUUCUCUAAAUACCUUGCGGAGUCCCAUUGAUCCAUCUUUAAGCAAAUAGAAGUAAUCUUAAAUUAAAAUCAGAUUUGAAUACCGAAAGAAUAUAAUAUCAACUCAGAUUCUAAUUGCAGCUUAAAAAUCAAUCUUUUCUUUUAAACUUUUAACACCAAGAAUAUGAAACCAUCCUCCAAAAAUUUGCAUUUAAAACCUAAACAAUACCAAAUUAAGUGUAAAAGGACUAGAUCAAUAGGAGUUUACAUUAAAAGAUAUUUCUUAUAUAGUAUUAAGGUGGAUAAAGAAAAGAGAGCUAUAAACUGGAUAUACUAAUGCAAGAGAGACUUGAAAAUAGUCCAUAUAAUUUUUGAAAAACGAAUUAAAAGGAUUUAGCAACUUUGAAGAUGCAGCAAGAUUAGAACCAAAAUCAAAGAGCUGGAAAUUUGGAGGUCCUGCAAUCAAUUUUUCCUUUGCAGCCCACCUCAAGGACCAAGUACCACUUCAAAGAAAACAAGCACAGGGCAGGACAAUGCAUAGACUAGCUAUUACUUCAAAUUCCAAGAUUAAAAAAAAAAAAAAACCAGCUUUGUGCGCUCAGGGCUGCAGGGCCAUAAUCUUCCAGCAAACCCUGUUUGGUUGAAGCCCCUUGGACUCUGAUCAUGCUUUCUUCAGGCACAGUUACUGGAUUGUACCUCAAGCUCCUAUCAACUUUCAUUUUUACCCAGCCAAAGGCUAACAUUUGAAGAAAGUCAGACACCAAAAUACUUUAUGGUCUUAAAACCAGAAAUCCAGCUAAGCGCAGAGUUAGAGUAACAACUGAUAUAGGUUGAGUUAAAAGAUUGUGGAAAUUAUGUACAUAAACAAGGUAACAAAUCUAGCUUAUGAUUUUAAAAGGUGCAGCAUCACUCUAUUUGAAAAGAAACAAUCACUAGAUUUCCUUUCCAGUUAGUUAAAUACCUAACCAAAUGCAAGGUUACUUAAAAAAUGAAGAGUGAUGCUGCAAGGUUGAGUUAAAAAAUGAAGUCAACUAUACUUUUCUUGGCCAUUUUGCCUGCAAAGCUAUUGACAUCCAUAUGGAAUGGAAUCUAAUAAAACUUUGUUAAUAAUGUAUCCAGGGGAAAAUAUUUUUUAAUACAGAGCAGGAUAGAUUAUUAUACAUGUGGUGAUCAUUACACAAAGACCACAUAUCCCAGUUUGAAGUCUUUUCUCUGUAAAUUUUAAACAUCACAAUCACCAUAAAAUAUGAUGAAUUUGAGUAUUCGUCAUCCAAGUACAAAUGUUGCAAUCCAGUUAAAGCAGCUCAGAUCC